rnacentral:lncRNA from 1 species
UAUCAAUAUCGAAAUCCCUUCAGGAGUAGCGAAAAUGAGAAGCAAUAUUCUACUUACCAUUAUCUUAGCCAUAGUUCUUGCAGGAGCCCUUCCCAAGAAUGUGGUAGAGGCUCAGAAUUGUGGCUGUGCUGCAAACCUUUGUUGCAGUCAAUAUGGCUACUGUGGCACUGGCAAUGCCUAUUGUGGUCAGGGAUGUAAACAAGGGCCCUGUGCUUCAUCACCUACGCCUACUACCCCUAGUGGGAGUGGUUCUGUUGCUGAUAUUGUUACGCCUGCUUUCUUCAAUGGUAUAAUCACCAAGCUGGUGCAGGCUGUGCUGGGAAGAAUUUCUAUACAAGAAAUGCAUUUCUCAGUGCUGUCAAUUCAUAUUCUCAAUUUGGUAAACUUGGUUCAGCUGAAGCUUCUAAGCGUGAGAUUGCAGCUUUCUUCGCUCAUGUUACUCACGAGACUGGACGUAAGUUCCUCUUCCAUCCCUAAUAACAUUUCUCGCAGCAUUUGAAUAGCAAGCAUGAUAGCCAACAGUAUUCUGUCUGUCUGUCUGUCUAUCUUUUCCACAAAUACAUUUGUCCGCAUAUGGAUUUUGUCAACAAAGUGAACUGUCUAAUAAGCGUGUUUCAGCUCCUCGUGUGUAAACUGACAAGAGAAAAUGUCUUUUUUUGCAGACUUCUGCUAUACAGAAGAGAUAAAUGGUGCUUCCCGUGACUACUGUGAUGAAAACAACAGGCAAUACCCAUGUGUUGCAGGCAAGAAAUACCAUGGCCGCGGACCAAUCCAACUAUCAUGGAACUACAACUAUGGGCCAGCCGGAAGGAGCAACAACUUUGAUGGAUUGAACAAUCCUGACAUUGUAGCAAGGGAUGCUGUUGUGUCAUUUAAGACAGCCUUAUGGUUUUGGAUGAAAAGUGUUCGUCCUGUUGUAAGCCAAGGUUUUGGAGCAACUAUUCGAGCCAUUAAUGGUAAUGAAUGCAAUGGUGGAAACUCAGGUGCCGUUCAGGCUCGUGUUAGAUAUUAUAGAGAUUAUUGCAGUCAACUCGGCGUUGCUACUGAGAAUAACCUCGCUUGCUAGGUUUUAAAAUAACCGGAGUUGUUAUGCCAAGUUAUGGCUAAUCAUAUGAAAAUAAGAUGUACUGCUAUGAAACAAGUUGAAGAGAAAUAAAGUUUAUAAUUAUCGUUAUGUCUCUUAUAGUUUUUCAGUAAUUUUGAUGUCCCUUUUUAUAUUUAUUUUUAUUACUUAGAAAAACCUCCACUUUACGUGCCAUAAAUUUGUUUUGAAAUUCAAUUUACGCCUUGUAUUUUAUUUUCCAUCAAUUUAAUCCAAUUUGACCAAAAGAUUGGAUCCAUCGAACCCAAUAUAUUAGCAAUUUGAAAUUGAAAUCACUAUAUGUGUGCAUAUUCAUUUAUUCUUCCAUUUCCGUAAUAAAUUUUCAAAUUUAUGUUAAUAUCAGUAGUAGGAUCUACUCUAAUUAAUAACUUCUUGAGUAAAACAAAAACCAAAGGAAAAAAAAUAUAUUUUUAAAUAACUCUUUUUUCCCAGGAAUUUGUCCUCAUUUUAAUAAAUCUUGAUUUUUACAUAUUGCUUAUGCUAGAGACUAGAUAGAGACGAGAAGGUAUGCGUUUUUUCCCGUCCCAGUUAUACAAGCAUAUUGUUACAAUGAUCUCCAUAUAUAUUUUUUAUAUCAAUACAAGAUAAAAAAAUAAAAAAAAAAUAUUAAUUUAGUGUUUCACGUAAGGACACUAAAAAUCAUGUUGAGCCGACGUUGAACAUCAUCAAUAUUAAUGGAGAGACUUUUCAAAGAAGAUGUCAAGUCCAUUUCUUACAUGAUAGCAAUUGUGGAUUGGGGUCCAUGUCCAUGGACAACAUCGCAUUGAUCUUGAUGUUAAUGAAACAAGUUUGAAAUACAGUGGCAAAAAAUCGAUUUGCCAGACAAAAAAAUGAAAAAUGAAAAAUUAGGCAACUUCCAGUUAUUUCCUUUUGCUUCCCAAUUAUCAUAUUGUUUGGCGGUGCUAGGCCAUGUGCUUGGCUCACUUGACCGACAGCACUAUACGUUGCUACCCAUUUCUUAUCCAGCUAGCUAGAUGCGGAAGAAACGUUGGUGUUUUUUUUAAUACAUUUCCAAAAAAAAUAAUACUUUAAAAAAUAAUUAUCAUUACAUUUUUAAUGAGUUAAUCACCAAGAGAUAGAGAAAGUGUUGCGUGUUAAAAAAUCAAUUCAGUCUAGUAACUUAAGUUAUUAGGUUAGAUUUCAAGAUAUGAUUUAUAUUAUUUUAUAACAUACUAUUUCAAGUCAUUUGGAUUGUAUAUAUCCAUAUUACUUUGUGCUUAAUUUUUAUCAAAUAAAUGAGGAUGAUGAGUGUUGCUACCCAAUUUUUGACCCAUGUUUUAAUAUAUUUUCAAAAGAUCCAAAAAAAAUAAAAUUGAAAAACAAAGAAAAUCCAAAAAAAUAUGUUUUUAAUAUAUUUUCGUCAUUUUAGCAUUUUCAACGUCGUUUAAAAAGAAUUUAAAUUGUUAAAAGAUUUUUCAAACGCGUUCGACUUUUCACGCGUAAUUUUUAAAAUCGUUGAUUUUCCGCAUUUUAGUUGACGUUGAUAUUGCUCGUUUUCAAAAAAUACAAAAAAAUAAGAAAAAUCAAAAUUUACAAAAAGAAGGAAGUUGAGGGACCAAGUUGAAAAAUCUAGCAAAAGUUUUCCUAUAAAUACCAUGCUAAACUGAUUUUUAAAGGGGGGCAAUUUUGAAAUAUCAGAAAAUACAAAAACAAUAACCUAACCCUAAACCUAUCUCUACCAAGCCUACAUCCCCCCUUUCCCCUUGGUUUGAAUUUUUUUUCUACAGCCGCCGGCCACAAACCAAAGCCAAACACAGCCACCCCUUCAGCCGUUUCUUUCUCAACAGACCCCCACAUUUGAACCCACGGUCCAACCAUCUCUUUCAGCCCUUUGAAACAAAAAAACAGCAGCCGUCUCCAAGCCUUUUUCCCGUUACAACAGCCACCACCGUUUUUUUUUCUUCUCUUCAACCUCACAAAGGACCAGCCGGCGGCGCCCCCUCCCCCUUUUUGGGUCUUGAGUUUUUCCCCGGCCAUCUCUGAUCUCCCUCUUCUCAGCCGGACAACCAUCAUCUCCCAGCUCUCCCCUCAGCAGCUCCUUCUUCUCCUUCGAUCCCAGCAGCAACGACCUCCACAAAAGCUCAGCCACACGCCAUCACAGAAACCAGCGGACCUCCCCCCUCCACAGAUCCUCUCUCUACUCUCCGCAACUCCUGAACCAGACUCCGGACACUCAGCGGCGCUCCUCUCAGUCACCAACAAGCGACGACCCACAGACCGACCUCGCAGCAGCUGCUCUUGCCCAGCGCCGUCGCCGCCCAACCGCCAGACCGCCACCGAUUGAAGAAGGAACGAAGGGACGCCAGGAAGGAGAAAGAUAACCGGAAACAAUAGAUCUAAAAAACGAAAAAUCAGAAUAGAUCUGGACAAAAAAAUGGAGUAAAAUCAACUGUUUGUGGCCCCCUUUUUGUAUUUCUUGUUGCAGGCAGAGGUGGCAGUGACCACCGGCGAGGAAGAAGAGAGGAAGCCGCUUUCGAUCUCCCCUGCUGUUUGGGUUUUAUGCGGCGGCGCGUGAACCCACGCGCCGCCAGUGACGGGGGCGCGUGGGGAGACGCGCCGCCCAUGCUCCUGCUGCCCUUUGUCUUCACAGAACUGUCCCUGCACUGUUAUAGAUUUUUUAGGGUUUAUUUUGUAAUUUGUUUUUAAUUGUUUGAUGUAAUAUUUGUUUAAUUUGAAUUUUUAUUUGUAUUUUGUAAAUAGGGAUGUAAAAGAAAAGAAAAGAAAAAGAGAAAAGGAAAAGAAAAGAAACAAAAAUAAUACAGUAAAAGUGAAUGUGGGUAUUUGUUUUUAUUUUUUUAAUAUAUUUUUUUAAUGAUAAAAUUGCAGAUAUUAAAAGAAGAAUUUAAUAUUUUGAUUGGAUCACGGUUAAGAAUUAUUAACUUAUACGUAAGUGAUAUUUCUAAUUUCCGAUGAAAAGACAAUUAUUAAAACUUUUUUUAACACGUCAAAGACACGAAGCAGCUUACCUCAGGUAGGGUGCGUUAGGGGUGCAAAUACCUUCCCUAACCACAACCAGUCCCUUACCCGCGAAUCUCUGACAAGACCAGUACAUCCGGUUUCCUAGUAGCCUUCAAUGAAUUACUAGGUGGCGACUCCAACGAACCGAUUCAAGCAAACGUAACGCAACAACGAUAAAAAUCGUCAGCCGAUGCCGCGCGCCGACUGAUUUUUUUGGGGUGCGACAAUGAGAUUUGAAUUCGUGAUCAUUUAAUUAUCAAGGGUUUAAUAUCAUGUUAAAAAAUAAUCUUAACCUAAUAGCAUAAGCUACUAGAUAAGGUUUUAAAAUAUAAUUUAUAUUAUUUUUUAAUAUUAAACUAUUAAAUUAAGAUUUUCUUUAAGACUGUGAGGUAGAAAUUGAGUUGAGUUGAGAAGAGUGUUUCUCCUCCUCCUUGGAAUAUGAACGGCAUCUCUAAUUAAUAAAACAGAUAUUGUAGGCAAAUUAGUCAACCACAUGCGUCGAUUCUGGGCAUCCAUUUUUAUCCUAACAGUUAGCUACAAAAACUAGAAAAAGAAAGGAGCACUAGAAGACGGGUUUAAUUUUAUUUUUUCCUAACCUUUCAUUUAUGGUGAAAGGUUGUCUUCUCUAUCUUAAAAAUAUAUAGGAAGGGGACGUAGAUUUUGGGUAAGUAGCUAGUCAACGACGGCUAUGCCCAUUCUAUGCCAUUGGGCGCCAGUAACUUCAAAUAGCUACUUCAAACUAUUGACUGUUGGUUAUGUAUUUUAAAUUUUUUUUAAAAUUUUUAAAAUUUUAUUAUUAACUUCAAAUUAAUAUAUUUUUAUUGUUUUUAAAUUAUUUUGAUAUGCUGAUGUCAAAAGUAAUUUUUUUUUUAAAUAAAAACAAAAUCAUUAACAUGUAUUUAGACAUAAAAAAUUAUUUAAAGAGCAACCACAACUACACUGCACAAAAUAAAAUAAAUAAUAAGAUAUUAUGUUGUUUUUCGUGAGGAGAUAGGGUUGGACAGCCUUUUUCCUCCAAAGUCUGAACUAGCAUGUGGUAAACUACCAAUUGAAUCUGUGUCUUUUAUGUGGACAAGAUUUCUAUUUUCUUGCCUAACUUCUUUCGACUUUUGCUUGAAAUGGUAGUGGUUGCUUAUCCUUUCCUAGUUGCUUGAAAAGUAAUACACAUAAGCCAGCAAUGGAACAAACAAUUGGUACGUAUGAUUACCAUCUAUCGUGUGCUGCCGGUAACAGCACAAUACAAAGUUAAAACUUCAUGUUUUUUUUUUAAAAAAACUAACGUUAUGAAUAUCCAAAAGCCUUGAAAUGAUUUAGACAAAAAAAUCCACCGUUAGUGAUUGGAUGUUCAAAUAUCUCAUUCGCUGCGACGAGGUCGGAUGUUAGAAAUAUGGGUGAACUCUCCUCCAGUUUUGAAUAGCUUUAGCUUCCUCGGUUUUUCCUAUAUUUGAGAUACGACUCGAAAACAAAAGGGUUGAUAUUAUUUUACAUAUAUACGACAUGUAUUCCAUAUAUAUAGAUCCAUGAUAUACAGCGGAUUAAUAAAAAUUAAUUUUUUUCAAAUAUCAAAAAAAUAUAAAAAGUAUAGAAAUUUUUUUAACUAUCCUUAAAAUAUCCUAAAUAAUUUUUUAUAAAAAAAAAUAUUUAAACUACCCUUAAAAUAUCAUAAAACAAAAUACAAAUUAAGUUUUUUAUAAUUUUUUAAAAAACAUUAAAAUUACCCUUGAAGUGUUCUAAAUAAUGUUUUUUUAAUUGUUUUUAAUUUUUUAUAAAAAACUUUAAACUACCCUUCAAAUAUGAUCUUAAAUCAAAAUACUAAUUAGUUUUUUAUAGAUAUUUUUUUAUUAAAAAAACAUUUGAACUACCCUUGAAGUAUCCUAUAUAAUUUAUUGUAUAAAUGUUUUCUAUUGUUUAUAAAAAAAAUAUUUAAAUUACCAUUGAAGUAUCAUAAAUAAUUUUUUUAAUACAUUUUUUUUAUUUUUUAUAUAAAAAAUUAAAUUACCCUUAAAGUAUCAUGAAUAGAAACACUAAUUAAUUUGUUUUAUAAAUAUUUUAUUUUUUAAAAAUAAAUAGGUUUGGCAGCCAUGCUAGACCCAAUAAUCUUGGGUCUCGCAGUAAUACCAAGCCUAGAAUCCUUGGAUCUGGUGGCAAUCCGAGACCCAAGAACGCUGGUUCUAGAGGGUAAACCAUACACAAUAGCUUUAUGUUUGAUUGCCAUGUCAAACCCACUAUGCUUGGGUUAGGCGGUUAUGCCUUGGCUCAACACGUUGUAGCAACUUUUAGAAAAAAUGGAAAAGAUAAAAAUGGUAAAAAAAAUUAUUUUUUUUCUAGUUUUUACAUAUAAAAAAUGAAACUAUCCUUCAAGUAUUCUAAACUGAAAUUCUAAUUAAUGUAUUUUAAAAUUUUAUUAUUAUUUUUAUUAAAAGCAUAAACUACCCUUGAAUUAUUAUAAAGAAAAACGCAAAUUAAUUUUAUUUAUAGUGUUUUUUUUUGUUUUUUCUAUUAAAAAAAUAUUAAAACUACCCUUGAUGUAUCUAAAUAAAAAUACUAAUUAGUUUUUUAUAAAUUUUAUUUAUUUUUUAUGAAAAACAUAAACUACCCUUGAAUUAUUAUAAAGAAAAACGCAAAUUAAUUUUAUUUAUAGUGUUUUUUUUUGUUUUCUCUAUAAAAAAAUAUUAAAACUUUUUUUAAUUUCUAUUAUUUUUUAUAAAAACAAACAUUUAAACAACUAUUGAUGUAUCAUAAACAACAAUGUAAAUUAAUUUUGUUUUAUAAUAUCUUUAUUUUUUAUUUCUAAAAAAAAUAUUAAAACUACCCUUAAUGUAUCCUAACUAAAAUUUUAAAAAACGUUUAGUGCAUGUUUGUAAUAAAUUGAAUGAUCAUCCAAUGAAUGUAAGUUUUUUAAUAAUGAGUUGUUAAGUUAUAUAUUCAGAUUAUUUGAUUACUCUACAAAUUUUAAUUUUCUUUUUGCAUAUUAAAAGUUCAUAAAGAUUUUAAUACAUCAUUACAAGUUUAAGUUUGGAGUUGUAAGAAAAGUGUAAUGUUUAUAUCAAUAACAUUAAAUUUAACUUUUAACUUUGAAAUUCAAAAUCCUUUAAAUUGAAUAGAGGUAGGCAUAAAAGAACCCGAAUCACUGGGUCUACCAAAUCAAAGAUCCAGUUUAUGUAGGUUAUAUUGUCAUUAAAGUGUCCAAAGCACAAACUGUGCUCCACUAGUUUACUUUUCAAAGCUGCAAAGCUUCAAUCUCAACAUAUAUCUGCGCACAAAAUAGUUGCAAGGAUCAGUAAAUCUUGAGAAUAAACAACUAAUUAAUGGGAUAAAAGAAAGAUCCAAUAGUUUUUCGAUACAAAUAAUAAUUUCAUACUGAUAGGUCUUGUGAGCAAGCUGCAUCUUUCCUUUCCUAGAUGAAAUUCAUGUGAAAUAUUUUUUUCGACAGUCCAACUCUUUCAUUUUUCGGUUUCUGUUCUUUCAAUCUUAACUGAAAAAUUAGACUUAUACCAAUCAACUUCUUCAACUAGGAUGUAAUAUUAGCACUGAAACUAUAUAUAUAUAAAAUUGCAGCUCGAUCACUAUCCUAGUCUUUCUAUUAAAAAUUAUGAGUACUGCAAAUUACAGAACCACUUGUAUAAACUGGCUUUGACCCCUACCAGAACCUUGCUAGGAUAAUAGAAAAGAAUAAACCCAUCACUUUUUAUUUAUUGUCAUGAAUAUGAUAAAACUAAACUAGCUGUUUCUUACGAUGCUAUAUAAAAAGAUUCAAAAUCACCAAGAUUUUGUACUUGGUUUGUAGUAAAAUAGAAUUUUGAUUUGUUUCUUCCUGCAAUCCUCGCAUGAAAAAUAGCAUUAAUGAAAGACUCUAUGGAAGUAAAAAGGUCACUUUGGCUAUCUUUCAUGUCCAUUUGAUCACUCCAAAAUAAUAGAGGAGUUGGAAAAGCCAAUUAAUGAGCAGCUAAAAGCCCAAGGUAUAUUAUCUUUGUCACACGGGGGGCACGAUGUCAGGGGUGAUGACGAGCUUUUCAUGCUUCCUGAGGAGGUGUCGUUGUUGGGAAAAGAAAUAGGUUUGGGUUUAAUCAUAGAUUAUAAUUAAGUUUUGGAGCCGCUACCUAGUAUUAUAAUAAAUAGAAACCUAUGGUUUGCAAGAGUCCGGGUAAAAGACUAGUUGUGUGAGGGGAUGACACAUCACUCCUAGUGCACCCUACCUAAGAUACAUUGCAUUGUUACUUGAUUGUUUUUCUAUGUCAAGUUUAUAUUCGUUGGUCUUUUUUCUAAGGUUCAAGGUAGAUCUUUCUUCGUGAGUCUUUACCUCAUCGGGUUUAAUUAUAACUAUUUUAAAGAUCAAAUUUUAGCAUUGCAUUUAUUUUACACUUCGUAUCUUUAAUACUAAAAGAUAUACUCUACUAUGUAGUUUUAUACCACACAAACGUUAAAGUCUACAUCUAAACCCUAGGAAAAUGAUUGGUAAAGGGUUUUUGAAAAUUUAGUCAAAUUCUAAUGGACAAUCAUAAACUAGUUACAAUAUCCAAAUUUUUUUAAAAAAAACAUGAAAAAUAUGCAUUUUUUUUAUGUUUUUUUAUGAAAAUAUGUUUGGAAAACUUUUUAGGAUUUGGACGUAUGUAUAAAAACAAAAAAAAAAUAUUUUUUUAUUUUUUGAAAUGGAAAAUUAAUUUAAAAGUUUUGAAAUUUAUUUUGAUUUUUUUAAAAUAUUUUUUAGAAAUUUUCAGAGAAAAUCAGGUAUGUUAAUACCGGAUUUGUAUCUGACAAUGUAAAUAUACAACCUAAUAUUAUACAAAAUUGAUAGAAAAACAUUCGAGAAAAUCAAAAUGUUUUUGAAAAGAUGUUUUAUUUUUUUUAUAAUAUUAUAAAUAAAUAAAUAUUAAAUAAAUAUGGAUAGUAUAGCCCAACUAACUCGAUCGAACUUAACCCAAGAAAUAUAAGGUUGGUCCCAACCCAAGAAGGGUGUUGGGCCAAUCUUGUUCCAACACAUUAUUUUUACGUUUUUAGUACGGAUUAGAACCAUCCUAAUUAUUUGGGAUGGGCUAGAAAUAGCCUAACUCAAAGUUAAUAGUUGAACAUGAAGUAUACAAUGGGCUAUAAUUCAUACCCAUUGUUGAUGCAUGAUUAGUAGGAUAGUAGGAUGUGAAUUACAAUCCAUGCUUACUGUUUAUGUGAACAGAGAGGGAAGAAGAGGAAAGGGGGCUCACUUGGCUCAUGGGUUGCGGAUAUCGUCAAAUGAAAUCCAAUUACAAUUUCAGGAUUUGUUAGCAACAAUUCCACGACGUCGCAUCCAAUGUUUCUCAGACGCAUGAAAGCACAAGGCUAAGCUUCUCUCUUCAAGUGGAAGUCUACAGCAUAUUGAAGAUGAAUGUGAGGUGGAAUCCCAAGGCUCACUGGACUCAGGAAUCAGACAAGGGAAUCUUCGUUGUUUAACAUCUUCAAAUUCUGUUGUUGAGGCAGAGGUGCAGGGAACGUUGAAAACUGGGCGGGCAUUGGGUUUUGGAAUGUUGAGGACUUGCAGGUGCUGGGAACAUCCAUUAGAGGCCAGGUGGACAGAAAGCUGGAAGAUUGGAAUGACGACCAAUAAUGCCAUUUUGCAGCUCGACAGUGGAUAUGUAUUACCUUCUUUCUUAAUGAAGAUCUUACUCUGGAAUAGAUGUGGAUUGGGUAUGUCUGCUAAGGGGGUAUCGAUUAGGAAUACUGUUCUGCAUAAUGACAUUAAGGUGUGUUUUCUGCUAGGAACUAAGAGGGCAAUGUGCUGUGACAAUUUUGUUCAUGCAUUAUAGAAUAACUUAUCAGUCAAAUGGUUUCCACUUAAUUCAGUUGAUUAGGCUGGAGGUAUUUUAGCUACGUGGGAUGAAAGUAAGUUCAUGGUUCAUUCAAUUGGAUUGCAUAUUGAGAAGCAAUUUACUUGUGCAAUCAUAGGAGUCUAUGCAGGAAUCAUAGUUCAUGUGAGACACCUUUGUUCAUUGUUGGGGACUUCAAUGAAACAUUGCAUCAGUGUAAAAGUAACAGUGGCUAUUUGAAUGGCAUUGGUUCUACGGAUUUCAAAAGAUUCAUAUCCAAUUGCAAUCUUUUGGAGUAUCCCCUCUCUGGUCACCAUACACAAGAUUUCAUGGCAACUCAAUGAGUAGAACUGAUAGAGCCUUUGCCACUCCAUACUUCCAUUUAACAUUCUCAGGUCUCCUACUCAAUCGGUUUCCACAAGAAUUGUCUGAUCACUGCCCAAUGAUCUUAGGACUGCAAUGCCAAACUUGGAGAUGGAAGCCAUUUCGUUUCCUCAAUUGUUAGGUCUCUAAGCCUAUGUCUAUGGACAAACUUGAUGGUCUUUUCCAGGAGUGUGGUAUUAAGUACAAUGGGAGACUUCACAUGUUUAAAAAGCUUGCCUUUAUGGCUAUGAAAUUCAGAAUAUGGAAUAGAAAGGAAUUUGGCAAUCAGGACUUGAAACUGUUGCAGCUUUAGCGUGACAUCCAGCGACUGGAGAAUAUAGAAGAGGACAAACAGCUUAACCAUGAAGAACCUUCUAUGCUGCAAAUCUUGCGCUCUAAGCCGUGGGAAAUCAACAAGUUUGUGGAAUCAAUCUGCAGUACAAAAUCAAGACAGAGCUGGUGCAAGCCUUAGAGAUAAGAAUACAAAAUUCUUCCACAUUAUAGCUAAUAUUCGAAGGAGUGGAAAACUCUAUCACUCGUAUCAGAUACAAUGAUAUACUGCAUACCUUUCCCAAGGACAUCAAGGAGGCGGCAAUAUCCUAUUUCUCAAGUCUGUUCACUAAUGAAAUCUCUACAAGAGCUACAAUGGGGUUCAAUAAACUAUCCAUAAUGCAAACUCAACAACUUGAACAAGCGGUAACUAUGGAAGAGGUCAAGCAAAUGAUUUGGAGUUGUGAUGGAACAAAAGCCCCAGGUCUUGACUGCUUCACCUUCAUUUUCUAUAAAAACGCAUGGCAUUUGAUAGGGCCUAACAUUUUUUAUAUGGUGCUUGAAUUUUCUGGACUAAGGAAAUUACCAACAGGAAUUAACAUCUCUCAUAUGGCCUUUGUUCCAAAAUCAAAGCUAUCUACAGAAUUUUCAGAGUAAGGCCAAUAAGUUUAGUGCAUGGCUUGUACAAAAUUAUAGGUAAACUGCUAUCCAACAAAUUGAAAGUCAUUAUGCAUAGUAUUAGCGCUAAUCCAACAACUUUCAUCAAAUUUUAGAUGAUUUCAUGAAGGCUAACGAAGUUGUACACAAUGUUAAGAAAAGUGGGCACAUAGUUUGGUUAUGAAAGUGGACUUUCAUAUAAGACUUUUAAUUGAGUGGUACAGGAGUACCUAGGGAAAGUGAUGUCAUAUAUGGGUUUUUAGAGGAGGUGGACUUCUCUAAUACAUCAAUGCAUUACGAGAUCUAAAUUAGCUAUUUUUAACAUCGUCAGAAAAUUAAUAAAUACAAAUGAAAAUAUUGAUAAAAAUAUUCCGUCGAUAAAUUGCAGUAAAUUUUACCGAUGAAAAUAUUUCAUCGGUAUAUACUGAAGGAAUUACAGUGGGCAAAAAAAAAAAAACAAAGUCAAAAAAUACGAUGACAUGUCAUUUAUAUCAACAAAAUUACCAACGGAAUAAAUUUCAUUGGUAAAAUCAUUGAUAAACUAUUAACAUUGUUCAUCAUGUCAAGUACAAAAGGAAUUGCCAACGGAAAAUUAUGUUGAUAUUUACUAGAGAGCUCUAGAACUGUUUACUUUCCAUUUGCGUUGUUAAUUAAUAUUCUUUACAAAUAAAAUCACCGACGGAUUGAAAAGUCGUCGGUGUUAUUUGGUGGGUUUCUAAUUUUUUUUGAUUAAAUUGAAAAUUUAAAUUAAAUAUUAUAGACGGAAUCAUCGACGAAUUGAAAAGUUGUCGGUGAUAUUUGGUGGUUUUUGAAAAAUUUUUAUUAAAUUGAAAAUUUAAAUUAAAUAUUAUAGAUGGAAUCACCAACGAAAUGAUUAAAAAUAUUAAAAUUUAAUUAUCCAUCGGUAAAACUGUCAGUAAAACACCCGAAUAAAAAGCCGAAAUCUCUAAUUUCACAACAAAGAGACCUCAUUUCUUCUUCUUCUUCUUCUUCUUCUUCUUCUUCUUCUUCCCCAUAAGUAAAAAAAUGACCAUCCCUUUCUUUCUCUUCUCUUCUCUUCUCUCCUUAACUCCUCUUCUCCUUCAUACUCAGGUAUGUCUUCUUCUCCUUUCUUCUUUUCUCUUCUCAAUUUUUUCUAAUUAAUAUACUUCUUCUCCUUCAUAUGAAAUCAAUUUUUAGUUCACUUAUUUUUAGAAAUCGCAACUUUAUUUUUUCAUAUGAUUGUUUAUAGUUGAAUUUAUUUUUUGUGUUAUUUAUUUGUUGUAAAUUUAUUUGAGUUGAUUUUCUUCUUUUGUUUUUCCUAGUAACUCAAUUUUGAGUAUUAUUAAGUGUUGAUUUAUAUUAAUUUAAUUAUUUAAUAGUUUUGUAAAAUAGAUUUUUUAAAAAUAUUUUUAAAUAAUCACCGAUGGAAUUACAUAUGGUAUUUUUCUAAGGAAAAUAUCGACGUAAUGAAGCGGGUAAUUUUUUUCACGCUUUUUUUGUUAGUAAAUCCAUCGGUAAUAAUAUUUUUUAUUAUCAACGGAUAAAAAAUUACAGAUAAAAGAUUCAUCGAUGGAGCAUUUUCAUCUGUGAUUCCAUCGAUAAAUUAAUUACUAAUAGAAUGAUAGUACAAAUACCGAUAAAAAAUUCCAUCGGUAAAUAUAAAGAUUAUGAUAGUGUAUUAAAGGUUCACCAAGCGCGGAGUUUAGAGUAGAACGUGACUAUGUCAAGGCAAUAAUCACUAUUGCCUUUUCUUUUUGACAUAUAUAUGAAGGGGUUAUCAGUUCUAUUUAAAAGAGCUUCCACUUCUGGAUUAUUUAAAGGAAUCCAUUAUGGAAAUGGGAUGUAUAUGAGUUUUUGCAUAUGAUAUCUUAGUGUUUAUUCCUAAUCAUUUCAUUUUGAUAAUUAAUGCUAAAAGAAUUUUGAGGUGGUUUGAAUUGAGAUCUGAAGGUUAAUUUUUGUAAAAAUUCACUAGCUGACAUUAACCUAGAUGAUGAAUUUACAGUAGGAAUAACAAAUGUGAUAAAUAGCAUCCGCACAAGACUAGUUUCAUGGAAAGGUAAGUUCUAGCGAAAUGCAUUCACGAUGUUAUCAUAUGGAAUUUUGUGGGGGUAUUUGGACUGCAAGAAACAAGCUUAUUUUUAAAGAUAAAAAGCUUGAUUGAAAUACAUUGUUUCAACUCAUACUCCAUCGUCUUGCACUUUCAUUUGAAUUAAGUUGUGCAGCGCCAAUAUUAUCACAAUAAAUCAAAGGCACUUGUUUAACUGAAUAUUGAAGUUCAUUUAAUAAUGGACAUACCCAGCUAAUUUCUAAACCAGUGUCAGCAUUGACGAUAUUCAGCCUCCGUUGAUGAUCUAGCAAUGGUUUGUUGUUUCUUGGAUGACCAUGAGACAGGAUUCUGACCAAGGUAUAGAAUGUAGGCACUAGUGGAGGAGAAGUCAUCCUUGUUUCCCCCCAAUCUGCAUCUAAAAAUGCAUGCAAGUGAGCAGGUGAUUGAUGAUACAGAAGAAGACCUACGUUACUGGUGCCUGAAAGAUAACGUAGGAGGCGUUUGACAAGUUUCCAAUGUUCUUCAGUCGGGUUGUGCAUGAACUGUGACAACUUGUUCACAACGAAAGAUACAUCUGGUCGGGUGAGUGAAAAAUAUUGAAGACUUCCAAAUGUGGCAUGACAUUCUGAAGGAUCUAAGAGCAACUUACCCAUUGCAAGAGUGGGAGGAGGACCUGGUGGCAGUGGAGUAGCCAUAGGCCGUGAGUUGCUCAUGUUGGUAUGAUGCAAGAGAUCUUGAAUAUAUUUGUACUGAGAAAGCACCAACCUGCAAGGAUGUGAUUAUAUUUCUACACCAAGGAAAUAAGUCAGAGAACCCAAAUCUUUUAGGGAGAACCGCUUGGCUAAAUUUUGAACAAGUAGAUCGACUGCAUGCUCAUCAUCACCGGUGAUGAUAAUGUUGUCUACAUAUACCAAUAAAUAUAGAAGAUGUCCAUGAUGUUUAAGAAUGAAUAAGGACGUAUCAUUCACUGAAUUUGUGAAGCUGCUAGCAAUCAGAAUGGAGUGAAGCUCAUGGUACCACACACGUGGUGCUUGCUUUAGGCCAUAAAUGGCUCUACGCAGUUUGCAAAUGAAAUUUGGUCAUUCUUUAUCUACAAAGACAGGAGGUUGAACUAUGUAUACAUCUUCCUAUAGAUGUCCCUGCAGAAAAGCAUUGUUGACAUCCAAUUAUCACAGCUUCCACCCAUUACUAACUGCAAUGGACAUGACAAGAUGAACUAUGGUUGGCUUGACAACUGGAAUGAAGGUUUUGGUAUAGUCAAGCCCUGGUCGCUGGUGAAAGCCUUUGGCCACCAAGCAUGCUUUAUAACAAGAAACACUGCCAUCUGAAUUGCGCUUCACCCUGAAAAUCCAUUUAUAAUCGACUAAGUUAGAGGCAUAUUGAGGAGAAACCAAAUCCCAGGUUUGAUUUUGGAUGAGAGCAUUAAACUCAUCCUGCAUGGCAUGACGCUAUUGGGCAUCCUUUAAAACAUUGGCAGCAGAUGUGGGCUCCUGAAUAUCAGUUGUGGGAAGAUGUGAAAGGAAGGUGAGUUUGCGGAUAGGUUUGUAGAUAUUGUUUUUGGAUCCAGUUGUCAUGGGAUGAGAAGAGGCAACAGGUUGAGCUGGGGGUGGAUGAGUGAUCAGUGGGGAUGUUGAGGUGGGCAGAACAGUGGAAGGUUGUGUCAGUUGUAUGGCGGAAGGGCUACUGGUGGCCGUUGUAAUGGAGCUGCUGACAGGGUGUGUGGCAGAGGGUGGAACUGCAGGUGGUAUGAACGGAUGAGAUUGAGGCGCAGGUGCCACAAUAGAAAGAAUAGGAGGUGUCAAUGCAUGCAGAGAUGAAGAGUUUGACACAUAUUGUGAUUGUAGUAAAUUAGGAUAUGGAAAAAUGGACUCAACAAAUCGAACAUGACAAGAAGAAAAAAAUUUUGAAGACUGUGGAUCAAAGCAAAUGUAAGCACUUUGAGAUAAGGAGUAUCCAAGAAAUAUGAAUGGUUUGGACCAGACAUCUAGUUUAUGAGCUGAAUAUGGAUGUAGCCAUGGAUAACACAAACACCCGAAAAUUCACAGUUUAGCAUAGUUCGGAGAUUUUUGAAAAAUAAGGUCAAAAGGAGAAAAAUAGUUUAAAGAAGGUGAUGACAUCCGAUUAAUUAAAUAAAUGGCAGUGGAAACGCAAAUGACCAAAAGUUUUGAGGUAAUGAAGCAUGAGUUAGAAGUGAAAGACCUGUUUCUACUAUGUGUCUGUGUUUUUGUUCAGAGAUACCAUUAUGUUCAAGUGUGUGUGGUGGGGAAGUAUGAUGAGAAAUGCCAUGUGUUUGAAAAAAAUCUUUGAGAGCUGUAAAUUCACCGCCAUUAUCGGAAUAGAAAGUGAUUAUUUUAUGCUUGAAAUAAUUUUCAACAAUGACUUUAAAGCGUAUGAAAGUAGACUUGACAUCUGAUUUGUGUUGCAAAGGAUAAAACCAUGUAUAACGUGUAAAAUGACCCACAAAGACAAUAUAAUAUUUAAAGCAAUCAAUUGAGUGCAUAGGAGCAGUCCAUACAUUAGAGAAAAUUAUUUCAAGAGGAGCAUGAGACUCUAAAGUGGAAGCUGAGAAUGGAAGUUUAUGACUUUUGUUACAUUGACAUGCAUUGCAGGAAAUCUGUUUGGUCAUGGAACAAGUGUUUAACUUGUUUUUAGAAAGAAUAACAUUAAGAAUAGGCAACGAUGGGUGACCUAAUCUAAAAUGCCAAUUUAUUGGUGCAGUUUUGGAAAUAGAAAAUGCGGUUGGAGAAGGGGACAUUGGAUUGAACCCCGGCCAUUCAUAAAUGCCACCUUUGCUCUCACCCUGAGCGCGAACCAAUGUUUAAGAGUUGGAGGCAGGAUUAAGAGUGUUUAAGGUGUCAGUGAUGAUAUAUUGUGGUGGACAAGGUUUGGUUCCAUCAACAAAACCUUGGAGAUCAUAACCUAUAAAAAGUGUUUGGAAUUGCAGCUUCCAUGACAAAUAAUUUGAGCUGGUGAGCUUGAGAGGAGCCUGUGCCGUGACAUUAAUGGUCACCAGGUUGGGCAGGCUGGAGUGAUAUUAGUUUGUGUUGUUGGGAUCAGUCAUGAUGAGAAGGAUGAGAAAGAAAAAAAUAUUAAAGAUGCUCUGUUACCAUAUAAAGAGUUAAUAUGCCUUGCAAUAUAUCUUCUUAUUAAUUCAAUGACGAUAUAUAUACAACCAUGAAGAAUGAAUAAGAUAAGCUUUCCUAACAACCUAGUAAUAGAGAAUUAAUUUAAAUUCAAAAUACUGGAAUUCUAUUAGCAUUUGUAUUACUGAAGACUAGUACAUAAUCCUAACUAUACAUGAUUCCUGAAGACCAGCACUGUAAAGUCGUAUGUUGCUGGCUGACAUUAAGCUCUUAAUUAAUGAGAGGAAAAUGUAGGGUUGGAAAAAAGUUUGGAAGUGAUAAUCAGUACAUACCAAGCCAAAUAAGAUUGUCUCAUGUAGUAACAGACACAUGGUACUAAAUAGGAUUGUGUCCGGUGUAGUAAUAAAGUUUCUACCUUCUAUGGUAUAUAAAAUGUCUGACCACUUCAACAACAUGUCACGUAAAGAGUACAUUGAUGUCAUUAUCCUAGAAAUUUUUGCCAAACUUUAUUUAUUUUGCUAAACUUUAUAUACUAAAUUAUAAUCAACUCCUAGAUAUUUUACACGUAAAAUUAGAGACCUCGUCCACUUUGUGCCUCUAUAAAUAGCUUAACCUCGACCUUAUCUCCACACAUCACAAGAAAUUCCUUUCUCUCUUUGCAUAUCAAUAUCAAAACUCCCUUCAGGAGUAGCGAAAAUGAGAAGCAAUAUUCUACUUACCAUUAUCUUAGCCAUAGUUCUUGCAGGAGCCCUGCCCAAGAAUGUGGUAGAGGCUCAAAAUUGUGGCUGUGCUGCAAACCUUUGUUGCAGUCAAUAUGGCUACUGUGGCACUGGCAAUGCCUAUUGUGGUCAGGGAUGUAAACAAGGGCCCUGUUAUUCAUCGCCUACGCCUACUACCCCUAGUGGGAGUGGUUCUGUUGCUGAUAUUGUUACGCCUGCUUUCUUCAAUGGUAUAAUCAACCAAGCUGCUGCAAGCUGUGCUGGGAAGAAUUUCUAUACAAGAAAUGCAUUUCUCAGUGCUGUCAAUUCAUAUUCUCAAUUUGGUAAACUUGGUUCAGCUGAAGCUUCUAAGCGUGAGAUCGCAGCUUUCUUCGCUCAUGUUACUCAUGAGACUGGACGUAAGUUCCUCUUCCAUCCCUAAUAACAUUUCUCGCAGCAUUCGAAUAUGGAUUUUGUCAACAAAGUGAACUGUCUAAUAAGUGUGUUUCAGAUCCUCGUGUGUAAACUGACAAGAGAAAAUGUCAUAUUUUGCAGACUUCUGCUAUAUAGAAGAGAUAAAUGGUGCUUCCGGUAACUACUGUGAUGAAAACAACAGGGAAUACCCAUGUGUUGCAGGCAAGAAAUACUAUGGCCGCGGACCACUCCAACUAUCAUGGAACUACAACUAUGGGCCAGCCGGAAGGAGCAACAACUUUGAUGGAUUGAACAAUCCUGACAUUGUAGCAAGGGAUGCUGUUGUGUCAUUUAAGACAGCCUUAUGGUUUUGGAUGAACAGAGUUCGUCCUGUUGUAAGCCAAGGUUUUGGAGCAACUAUUCGAGCCAUUAAUAGUAUAGAAUGCAAUGGUGGAAACGCAGGUGCUGUUCAGGCUCGUGUUAGAUAUUAUAGAGAUUAUUGCAGUCAACUCGGCGUUUCUACUGAGAAUAACCUCACUUGCUAAGUUCUUAAAUAACCUGAGUUGUUAUGCCAAGUUAUGGCUAAUCAUAUGAAAAUAAGAUGUAUUGCUAUGAAAUAAAUUGAAGACAAAUAAAGUUUAUAAUUAUCGUUAUGUCUCUUAUAGUUUUUCAGUAAUUUUGAUGUCCCUUUUAUAUUUAUUUUUGUUACUUUGAAAAACCUCCACUUUACGUGGCCAAAAAUUUGUGUUGAAAUUCAAUUUACGCCUUGUACGUAUUUUAUUUUCCAUCAUUUGAGUCCAUUAUGACCAAAAGAUUGUCCAUCCAACCCAAUAUAUUAGCAAUUUGAAAUUGAAAUCACUAUAUGUGUGCAUAUUCAUUUAAUUUAUUCUUCCAUUUCCAUAAUACAUUUUUCAAAUUUAUGUUAAUAUCCAUAGUAGGAUCUACUCUAAUUAAUUACUUCUCGAGUAAAACAAAAAUUUCAUGAUUAUGACAUUUUUUCUUUUUAUGUUUUUUAAAAUGAAAGGUUGUAUUGCCUUGCCUAUUAUGUUUAUAAUACAUGUUCAGCUUACUUUUCAUCUUUCAAAUUUGGUUGAUGCAGAGUGUUUUUUUAAAUGAUUUUUAUUUAAAAAUAUAUUAAAAAUAUAUUUUAUUUUUCAUAUUAGUAUAUUCAAACAAUAAAAAAAAACUUUUUCAAAAACAAAUUAAAAUUUAAAAAAUACAGUUCAACCACACUUCUAAACAACACCGAAGUUAAAAAGAAACUAAGUUGUGGUUUUUUAGAUGUUAAGAGCCUAUUUGAGAACACGGUGUAAACCACAUUCUUUUAAAUUUUAAAAAAAAUUGCUAAAAUUUAUUUUUUUAUGUCUUGAGAUUGUUUUAAUGUGUUAAUGUUAAAAAUAAUUUUAAAAAAUUAAAAAAUAUAUAUUUUUUAAAAAACAACUUUAGACUGCAACAACUAUUGAAAUUUUAAACAGUCCAUAAGAAAUUGAAUUGAAUUGUACUAGGAUCUUUGCCAUGGAAUCACUAUUGGGAUUAUUUAGUGGUUCAAAAUCAUGUUGAGCUAGCCGACGUUGAAAAUCAUCAAUAUUAAUGGAGAGACUUUUCAAAGAAGUUGUCAAGUCCAUUUCUGACAUGAUAGCAAUUAUGGAUUGGGGUCCAUGUCCAUGUACCAACAUUGUAUAGAUCAUGAACCAAGUUUAAUGUCAAAGGAUCGAUUUGCCAGGAAAAAAAAAUUGAAAAAUGAAAAAUUAGGCAACUUGCUGUGAUUUCCUUUUGCUUCCAAGAUAUACGAUAUGGCCGCAGUGUGGUCAAAUAUCUUGGUAGUGUUGAUUAAUGGAGAGCUAAAGCCACAGCCCACCCAUUUCUUAUCCACCUAGCCAGAUGAGGAAGAAACGAUGGCUCCUAUUUUACUUAUUUUUCAGCUGCAAGAGCUGAGUUGUAGUAAGAUGGAAUGAGUUGACAUGACAUGUGUUGGAAUGAGCUGUAUCUAUCCCAACUCGUUGCAUGUUUUGGUUAUAAAAUCUUUUUAAAAGUAUUUCUAAGUUUUUUUUGUUAUAUAUUUUUUUUAGUGUUUUAAAAUUAUUUUGAUGUAUCGAUAUUAUAAAUAAAAUUUAAAAAAUAAAAAAUUAUUGUUUAAAUGUAUUUUUAAAUAAAAUAUAAUUUUAAAAACAAAAUUUAAAUUAGCAGUAAAAACACAAUAUAAAUGUGACAAAACACAGUGAGCUAAACACCAAGAGAAAGAGUGUUUAUCCAACCUAGUUAAAUCUUAGGCGUCGAUUCUGGGCAUCCAUUUUUAUCCUGACUGUUAGCUACAAAAACUAGAAAAAGAAAGGAGCACUAGAAGACGGCUUCAGUUUUAUCUUUUUUCUAUCCUUUCAUUUAUGGUACGUUGAAAGGUUGUCUUCUCUAUGUUAAAAAUAUAUAGGGAAUUGGCUAGUCAACGUCGGCUAUGCCCAUACUGUGCCAUUGGGCGCCACUAUCCUUUCAUUGAUGGUAAUUGACUAUUCAACGUUUUUCUUUUCACAUAGUUGUGGGGUGUCUACUCUUCGAAUGGGGUUCUUCUAGUCCUAGAUAGGAUACUACCUUUUCUUUCGUUAGGAGAUAGGAUUUGGCAGACUUUUCCCUUCAAAUGCUGAAAUAAAUGCUGAAAUGGAUAGAAAAUAAUAUAAAUUAUAUUCUAAAAUUUUAUUUAAUAAUUUAAAAUUUUAGAUUGAAAUGAUUUUUGAUAUAAUAUCAAUACUUUGAUAAUUAAAUGAUCACGAAUUCAAAUCUCACCAUCUGCACUUAUUUGAUAAAAAUUAAGCACAGGGUAAUGUAAACAUGUUUAAAUUUUAAGUCCAAAAGACUUUUACUUGAGAUGACGUGUUAGAGAAUAAUAUAAAUCAUAUUCUGGAACUUUAUUUAAUAAUUUAAACUUUCAAAUUAAAAUGAAAGCUAACAAUGGUAAGCUAACAAUUGAGUCUGUGUCUUUAUGUGGACAAGAUUUCUAUUUUCUUGCCUAACUACAAAGUUUACUUGAAAUGGUAGUGAUUGAUUAUCCUUUCCUAGUUGUUUGAAAAGUAAUACGCACGUGCCAGCAAUGGCCCUGCAGGUAAUGGCGCCACAAAUGGUUUGGGAAAUUAAACUCCUUGCCCUCUCUAGGGCCUAGAUUUGUCUCCGCUGAUAGUGUGCUAAAGAAUUUAAAAGAAUUGGUAUUAGUAUUGUGAGUUUGAAGAAAAUUAGAGAAAUGAAAAAAAAAUGAGGGCGGCUAAAUUAUGGCUCUGUAAUUGGCUCUUCCAUAGACUGUAGUGGUCAGCGCCUUUGGAUUGCAAACAUCUAUGCUUCUAGAAAUCUUGAACUUCCAGUUUGUUAAGAGUUUUUAUCUAGUCACCCACGAUGGUCUGUAAUGAACUGAACAACCUAGUCAUUGAGAAGCCUAUAACACUUUAUGCAAGUCUCCAAGUGAACAAAUUUGCAGAUUAUGCUUGUCUCCUAGCAUUGAAAAUUCCCACGUUCGUAAAGCUUUUGAGGAUACUAUGAAGCUCAUCCCAUAUGAUUCCCAUCUAUCGAGUGCUGUAACAGCACAAUUCAAAGUUAAAACUUCAUGUUGAUUCAAAACAAACUAAUGUUAAGAUAUCCAAAAGCCUUGAAAUGAUUUGAGAAUUUCAAGUGUUAGACAAAAAAUCCACCAUGAGUGAUUGGAUGUUCAAAUAUCUUAUGCACUGCGACAAGGUCGGAUGUUAGAAAUAUGGGUGAAGUCUCCCUCCAGUUUUUAUAAAACACUUUUAAAAAAAAAACAAAUCAUGAGGUUGCCUUCUUCACUCUCGCCUGUAAUAUGGGCUCUCAAAAUUGAAUGUGGAGCUGGAACCAUACGACUCAUUAUCUUCAAGAUCUUCUAAAUCCUUAUUUAUUAAGUAAUGGUCACUUUUGAAACUUCCCUUUACAAAUCUUUAUUCACUAAGUUAUGACAGUUUUGUUCUUGGGCAGAACCUCCUCAACCAUAAUUAAUUCCCCUCUGCCAUAACCAUGUUUUGCGUUGUGAUCUCUAGCCAUAGUAGUUCAGCAACAUUAAAAAAAAGAAGGAACAAUAGGAUAUGAUACCAACUUGCACAAUUUAAACUAAUUAGACUGGGAAUAAAAAAAAAACAUGGGAAGAUAGAAUUCACCAAAAGGGCCAAACAAGAACCCUAGCUACAUUGUUAUUUUCAGAAUAUAUUCCUCCACCAAAAUCUACCUCAUAAAAAUAUUUUCAAUAACUUAAAUAGGUCUAUCUUCUCGAUCAAAAUGGAAAAAAUAAUCUUACAUGGAUAGAAAAAUUAAAAGCUAAAAUUUGAAAUAAAUAAAAACUAAAACUAAAAAAAAAUAGCAAUUUAUAAAUCUAAUUUGAAAGUCUUGAUUACCUCAACGAGCCAAUAUUUCACUAUAGAAUAGAUCUGCAUAAUCUUUUAAUGAAAUUUAAAUGUGAUCUAAUAAUUAAAUAAAAUAUUAUGUUUAUUUUUAUCAGAAAUAUUAUUUGGAGUGACUAAAUCUUUUCUUGGGUUUGAACUUUUUAUUUAAUCCAUAAAUGUAUUUAUUAGGUAUUUUAUAUACUCUGAUUAUUAUUCUUGUACAUUAAUAUUAGGAAUAACCACAAUAAAUAUUGGUAUGGGAAAUUAAACUCCUUAGAAUUACCUUACCCAACUCUGAAGCCCUAGAUGUACAUGGCGUGGUAAAGGAUUUAAAAGAUAUGGUAUUAGUGUAUGGGAAAGAAAUUAAACUGAGAACUUGGCUCUGCCUCGGUGCUCAGUACCAUUCGAUCUCUAACAUCUAUGCAUGCUUCUAGAAAUUUUGAGCUCCUAGUCCGUUCAAAGUUUUUUUAGCAGCCUUCCUUGAUGAUCUAUAUGAACCGAACAAUCAAGUCAUUGAGAAGCCUACAACACUUAGCCUAGUCCCUAACUUUGUGGCGCAUUGAGUGGAAGAAAUUUUCAACGUUUGACUCUAAGUAGUCACUCAUUUACGCUGUUUAGAAUCCAAGUUAAAUUUCCAUGUUGAUAAAAAAAAAAAAAAAACACCAAAGUUAAGAUGGAAAAAUUCGUUGAAUCCGUACUUCAUGAAAUUUUAAUUAUUACAUAGGAAAAUACAUGUCCAAAGUUAAAAACACAUUAUAUUAUUCAAUGAACUGUAAUAUAAAUUGAUAUUUGAAAUAUAAGGUUGUGUUGCACUCAUGAAAUGAAAUGAUAGAAAGAUCUGAUUUAGUGUUAGGUUUUAAGCCAAUAAAAUUAGUUUGAAAGGAUAAUAUUAAUUGUUUUUUAAAAUGAUUUUUUGUUUGAAAAUAUAUUAAAAAUAUAUAUUAUUUUUAUAUCAGGAUAUCAAAAUAAUAUAAAAAUAACAAGAAAAAAUUAAUUUAAAAUAAAAAAAAUUUAAUUUUUUUUUAAAUUCUUUUAAAACCUAAACAAUUUUCUCAGUCUUGUCUUCUAACAUAAAAAAAAUUAUAUAUAUAUAUAUAUAUAUAUAUAUAUAUAUAUAUAUAUAUAUAUAUAUUAUGAAGCCAACAGUAUCAAUCACAUAAUCCAUUAUCUGUCAGAGUCUCGGUACUUGAGGGAUUUGAUCCCAAAUGACACAAGCCUGGUGACUUUACUAAUCAGCUCUUUACUAGGUUUCUUGCGGGUUUUUUUUUAUCAGUAAUCCUUCUCCAAUUUGUCGUCUCAAACUGGUUUUUAAUAUCUAUUUGAUGAUCAAAGAAAAGAAAAGGCCUAAUCAUCUAACAAGUAGUUUUAAUUCUAUUUUUGUAUAUUUUCACUUAAAAUAUAUUAGAGAAUAAUAUAAAUUAUAUAUUGAAACUUUACUUAACAAUUUAAGUUAUUAAAUUGAGAUGAUUUUUUAACAUGGUAUCAAAGUAUUGAUGACCAAGUGAUCACGAGUUUAAAUCUCACUAUCCCUAUUUAUUUGAUAAAAAAUAAACACAUGAUAAUAUGGUAUUGUGGAAGUUUAAAGCCCAAAGAGCUUUCAAUUAAGAGAGUGUGUUAGAGAAUAAUAUAAAUUAUAUCCUGAGAUUUUACCUAACAGUUUAAGCUUAUGGGUUAAGAUGAUUUUUUGAUAGAGUGAAAAUGUGAGCAUAGUAAUAAAUAUCUUCCAAGUUUCAGCGGGUCAACUCAACAACCUACCAAUUAAAUAUUUUAUUUUAUUUUAAAUUGGUUUUUUUAUGAAAAUAAUAUAAAAUAUUUUUAAGAAAAUCAUAUAUCUAGUUUGUAGUUUAUAACUAAGAACGUGAGAUGUCUCUCUUGCCAUCAAGGCAUUUAGAAUUUUCAUAUCUAUCGCUAUAAGGUGCUUUGUAGUUUCAUAAAACUUUGCUUAGUGAACCUCCUUUUGUCGUUAUAAGUCAUCUAAGCAGACCCGUAUUCUACACGCACAAAUAUGUAUAAAAAUCUACAUGCUAUCCUGCUAUAUAUAUGGCCCAAACCAAACCUUAUUUUUCCAUCCAGAUUUUUUACCCUUAAUUAAAUAAAAAAACACCUUGCUUACCUUAUGUUUUUUCUUAACAUGGGAAACAAUGUACUAUCCAUCAUUCUGGCUAUGAUGCUGGCUGUAACCAUGCCGCAGUUGAUAGUGUCUCAAAAUUGUGGUUGUGCUCCCAACUUGUGCUGUAGUCAGUUUGGCUUCUGCGGCACCGGUGAUGCUUAUUGUGGCCAAGGAUGCCGGGAGGGACCUUGUACCUCAGCACCUAGUACCCCUAGCACGCCUAGUAACAAUGAUGUUACGGUGGCUGGUGUUGUUACACCGGAAUUCUUCAACGGUAUAAUCAAUCAAGCCGGGGGAGAUUGUGCCGGGAAGAGCUUCUACACACGAGAUGCGUUUCUCAGUGCCCUCAAUUCUUAUUCUCAGUUUGGCAAGAUUGGAUCAAAUGACGAUUCCAAACGUGAGAUUGCAGCAUUUUUUGCUCACGUCACGCAUGAGACCGGACGUAAGAUCUCUUAAAUCUCAUCUAUAUAUAUAUAUAUGUAUAUUGUCACACAUCACACCUUCAGUAAACAACAUAAUAAUAAUAAUAAUAAUAAUCAUAUGGCAGUUAAAAACUUUAUUAACAUGCAUACAAACUUGGAAAUGCUAUAGUUGUUUGAGAAUGAUCGUUAUGAUAUGAACACAAGCAUAACCAUACAUCUCAAAGUUAACAAAUGGAUGUGUUUUGCUUGGUUUACAGACUUCUGCUACAUAGAAGAAAUAAACGGUGCCUCUCAGGACUACUGUGAUGAGACCAAUACACAGUAUCCAUGCAACCCGAACAAGAAAUACUUUGGCCGUGGACCUCUUCAACUAACAUGGAAUUACAAUUACGGGGCGGCUGGAGGGGCAAACAACUUUGAUGGACUAAACUCUCCUGAAACUGUGGCCAAUGAUCCUGUUGUGUCGUUCAAGACUGCCUUAUGGUUUUGGAUGACUAAUGUCCGCCCUGUGGUCACUCAAGGGUUUGGUGCAACGAUUAGAGCCAUUAAUGGUGCAGUUGAAUGUAAUGGUGGAAAUUCUGGUGCUGUUCAAGCUCGAAUUGGGUAUUACACAGAUUAUUGUAACCAGUUUGGCGUUGCACCUGGCGACAAUCUAAGCUGUUAGGUUACAUUAUGCAUAUUAUAGUAUAGCAAAGAAAUGAAAUGGAAUCUACCUUCUGCCAUUUCUCGAAUGUAAGGUGGGAUACCCAGUGGUGUUCUGUAACUCUCGAUCGAGUUCGAUGUAUUUCUUGGAAUGGAUUUUACCAAUAAAUAAAUGAAAUAAAGGCAUCACAUAAUUGAUUUUGCUUAUCAUGUAUUUGCUGGCUUAAUUCGUUGUUAUGUUCAUUGCAAUUGCAAGUUUCUUGUUUAGUUUUUUUUUUUUAUUUAUAAUCUUUAAUCUUUAAUCACUAAUGAAAGUUUUGCUCUUGGGCAGAACCUCCUCAACCAUAAUUAAUUCCCCUCUGCCAUAAUCAUGUUUUGCGUUGUGAUCUCUAGCCAUAGUUGUUCAGCAACAUAUAUAUAUAUAUAAAAAAAAAAAAAACAAGGAACAAUAGGAUAUGACACCAACUAGCACAAUUUAAACUAAUUAGACUGGGAAUAAAAAAACAGGGGAAGAUAGAAUUCACCAAAAGGGCCAAACAAAGAACCCUAGCUGCAUUGUUAUUUUCAGAAUAAUAUUCUUCCACCAAAAUCUACAUCAUAAAAAUAUUUGCAAUAAUUUAAAUAACCUCAAUCAAAAUGGAAAAAAUAAUCCUACAUAGACAGAAAAAUUAAAAGCUAAAAUUUGAAAUAAAUAAAAACUAAAACUAAAAAAUUAACAUUUUUAAAAUUUAAUUUGAAAAUCUUUCUAACCUCAACUUAUUACAACGAGACAAUAUUCCACUAUAGAAUAUGCCUGCAGAAUCUUUUAAUGAAAUUUAAACAUGAUUCAAUAAUUAAAUAAAAAAUUAUGUUUAUUUUCAUUAAACAUAUUGUUUAGAGGAACUAAACUUUUUCUUGAGUUUGGAUUUUUUAUGCGAUCCAUAAAUAUAUAUCUGCUAGGUUUUUCAUAUACUCUAGUUACAACAAAUUUAUAUUUGAUUAUGAUUAUUAUUCUUGUAGAUUAAUAUUAGCAAUAACGAACAAUAUUUGUAUGGGAAAUUAAAUUCCUUAUAACUAACUUACCCAACUCUCAAGCCCUAGAUGUACAUGGUGUGGUAAAGGAUUUAAAAGAUAUGGUAUUAGUGUAUGGGAAAGAAAUUAAAAUAAAUUAAGAACUUGGCUCUGCCUCGGUGCUCAGUACCAUUUGAUUUCUAACAUCUAUGCUUCUAGAAAUUUUGAACUCAUAGUUUGUCCAAAGUUUUUUUUAGCAGCCUUCCUUGAUGAUCUAUAUGAAACGAACAAUGAAGUCAUUGAGAAGCCUACAACACUUAUGGCGCGUUGAGUGGAAGAAAUUAUCAAAGCCUACAACACUAAUGAAAUUUUAAUUAUUACAUAGGAAAACCCAAAGUUUACAACACGUUAUUCAAUGAACUGUAAUAUAAAUGGAUAUUUGCAAACAACAUUCUCUCUAUUAUUUUCUAACAUACCAAAGAAAAUUUACGAAGCCAACAUUAUCGAUCGCAUAAUCCAUUAUCUGUCGGAGUCUCGGUACUAGAGGGAUUUGAUUCCAAAUCACACAAGCCUAGUAACUUUACUAAUCAGCUCUCUUUUUAGGUUUCUUUCGAGUUUUUUAUUAGUAAUUCUUCUCCAAUUUGUCGUCUCAAGCUGGUUUUUACUGUCUAUUUGCUGAUCAAGUCAAAGAAAAGAACAUGCAAUUCCCCCUAUUUAUAGGUUAUGGAAGAAGGUAAUAUUUUCUUCACUUUGAGAAAAUUUUCAAUCCUUAAUUCGGAUGGAAAUGAUCACAACCGUUGACUUAAAAUAGGCAGCAUGAACUGUAUAAAUUUGACAGUUAGUGGCUGCUUGAGCUGGCCUCUUUAGGUUGGCACCGCGACCUCUAUGGUGUUAAUCAACCUAAACAGACCAUACCAGGGUGUAAAAGGAUGUCAGGUGAUCAUUUACAUGCAAGUUUUAGUGAAGGUUAGAUGCAUUAAAUGCACCUAUGAAGUUGUUUUUCUAAGCUAUCAUUUCAGUGAAAAUUAAAGAAGAAGAUGAACAAUAACCAAAACAGCGCCAUUUUGGUAACAUUCACUUUAGCCAUUUGAUUUCUAAUUUGUCUCAAUUACACCCUUGAUUGACUUCAAAUUUUUAAUUUUAUGUAAUCUCAUCCCUAGAAAAACCUCAAUGUCAGCCUCGGAUAUCGCAAUGACCGAUUAAAAAUAAUCUAAGAAAAGAAAAGAUAUCAAACAUCUUAAUCUGUGGGGAAAAGGUCUAGUUUAAGGAGUUACCACCUAGUAUUACAGUCAGACCAACCCUAACUGAUCAACAGAGAUUAUAUUGUACGGGACUGGUUACGCGAAAUGAGAGAUAUUAUCACCCCUUAAACGCCUUACUUAAAGCAAACUACAUUGUUGGUUUUGUUUUAAAUUGCUAAGAUUUCGUCUUUGUUCCAUUUUUAAGGUCAUCCUAUAAUAUUCUCAACUCUGACGUAAAUAGUUAUUCCCCUAUAAAUAUUUUCAAUUCUAGCGUUGGUAAAUAUUGUGCAAUCCAUAAAGUACGGUAAUCCUAACUAUGACGUUAGGGAAUGAGUCUGCAAAUUUUAAAUUUUAAAAAAGAAAGAAACAAUUUUUUUAUUUUUUUCUGGCCGGAUCUAGGUUAGCUAUACAGGUCGGGCUUGAUCCAGCUAGCAUGAGCUUGGUCACUGAAAUGCAACAAGCAUACGUCAAUUAUAAUUCACGUAUGCGUGUAUAGCAAGAAUGUAAUUAAAAUGACAAUGGUUAAGGGCCAAGAAUAAAAUUAAAAAUAAAAGAAUAAGAAUUAAAUUUGAAGUAUCAAUAACUAAAAUGACAACAUUGAAAUUCUAAAUGGCUGGUGCGAUUUUCGAGAGAAGAAGAGAGAGAAAAGAGAAAGAAAAAAAAAAACUCACCAACAACAAUUCAUCAUACCACCAUCACCACAUGCCACACCACAAAAAAUAAUAAGAUGUAAAGAUUUCAACAACAUAACGGAAGAGCUUUUUAACCACUGUGACGCAUUGUGCGUGCUAACAGAGGUUAUGGGCGCCUCCCACACGUUGGAGUAUGAAUUGUGUAUAUCAUCAACUUUUCUAUUUUAAUAUUAUUUAAUUUUUAUUAAAAUAUUAAAUUACCAUCAACCAAUUUGAUGAUAACAGAUAAAAAAAAAAACAUAGUAAAAAAACAUAAAAGCUUCUAUAUGCAAGCUUUAGAAAUUUUGCAAGUCUUUUUAUUGCUCUUAAAAUAGUGAAUUGAUGUGAAAGCCCUUAAAAGUUAGUUUCAAUAAUUUUGCUUUGAAGGGUAAAAAAAAUUAAAAAAGACAAGCGGUCAAUAUUAUAAUUAAUAAUAAAUCAUGUACGAAAAGAAAAAAAAAAUCCCCAAUGUAAAAGCCAUUGGUUUUUUUAAGAAGGGUAAAUAGAUAAUUAUACUAUAGCAUAGUAAAUUAUUUAUAUGACAUAGUAUCUUCACCUUUUGUUUUAGCUUUAUCUUGUUUUCUGUUAUAUUGCUAGACAUCUUUUAACCGCAGCUAAUAGUAUUCACAGCAACAAAUAUAACUAAAAGCAACCAAGUAAUCACUACAUAGAUCCUUAAUGUGUUAUUAAAUAUUAUAAGAGAUUUAAAUAAAAAAAAUAUAUAAAACGGUUCAUACACAAAAUUUAUAUGGUUUAAGAGCCACACUUUCUAAAAAAAUUAAUUUUUUUUCUUCAAAUUAAAUAAUACUAUUUGAGAGUAAUUGAGUUUAUCUACUGAAUUUAUCAUGCAAUCUGUUUGCAACGCGAAGCCCCAUGUAUCUCAAGCCCGUCAUAUUAUAUUCCAAAUGAAGGCCCAAAAACGAUGGGCCAUUAUGACGACAGCUGUUCAGCACUUUAUUUAGGCCCCCGUCUUUCAAAUGAAAUGCAAUUACAAUUUCAGGAUGUCUUAGCAACAAUUCCACGACGUCGCAUCCAAUGGUUCUCAGACGCAUGAAGCACAAGGCUAAGCUUCUGUCUUCAAGUGGAAGUCUACACAGCAUAUUGAAGAUGAAUGUGAGGUGGAAUCCCAAGGCUCACUGGACUCUGGAAUCAGACAAGGGAAUCUUCGUUGUUUAACAUCUUCAAAUUCUGUUGUUGAGGCAGAGGUGCACGGAACGUUGAAAACUGGGCAGGCAUUGGGUUUUGGAAUGUUGAGGACUUGCAGGUGCUGGCAACAUCCAUUAGAGGCCAUGUGGACAGAAAGAUGGAAGAUUGGAAUGACGACCAAUAAUGCCAUUUUGCAGCUCGACAGUGGAUGUGUAUUACCUUCUUUCUUAAUGAAGAUCUUAUUCUGGAAUAGUUGUGGAUUGGGUAUGUCUGCUAAGGGGGUAUCGAUUAGGAAUACUAUUCUGCAUAAUGACAUUGAGGUGUGUUUCCUGCUAGGAACUAAGAGGGCAAUGUGCUGUGACAAAUUUGUUCAUGCAUUAUAGAAUAACUUAUCAGUCAAAUGGUUUAAUUAGGCUGGAGGUAUUUUAGCUACGUGGGAUGAAAGGAAGUUCAUGGUUCAUUUAGCCAAUAUCAAACUAGAAUGUGAUGGUGAAGAUAUAAGGAUGUGUUUUGCCAAACACACACUUAUCAAAUAUGGACUAGGCAAGCUGGAUUUGAAGACCAGACUUGGCCGACACUUUUUUUCUUUUUUAUUGGACAAGAUCUAGCCCAGCCACGCACCCUGGGCUAAACCUAGUCAGUCAACCUGGUUAAUGGCUUAAGCCAGUGACCUAGCUGCAGGAAGGAGCAGGCUUACCUGCUUUGUGCAAUAUUUAAUUUUUUGCAAGCAUAAUAACAACAAGAAAAAUGACUUUGAAAAUUUCUUCUUCAAAUUCAAUUUUUUACCUCGUUUAUAAUCCAAGUGUAUUAAAAUGAGAGCUGGGGAAGAAAAAAGACUUACCUAGCUUGCAAAGACAUUGCACGAGAUUGUAAGUGCUAGGUGAAUUUGUAGUGUCAGAGGAAGAAGAAGAAGAAUUGUGCAUGGUUGAAACAGUGUCGUUUUGAACUGGGAAUAAACAAAUUUAAUUAUUUUAUAGUUUUGUAAAAAAAUUUUUUAAAAAUAUUUUUAAAUAAGCGCCGAUGAAAUUACAUACGGUAUUUUUUUGAGAAAAAUAUCGACGAAAUGAAGCGGGUAAUUUUUUUUGCGCUUUUUUCGUUAGUAAAUCCAUCGGUAAUAAUAUUUUUUAUUACCAACGGAUAAAAAAUUACAGAUAAAAAAUUCACCAAUAGAACAUUUUCAUCUGUGAUUCCAUCGAUAAAUUAAUUACUAAUAGAAUAAUAGUACAAACGCCGAUAAAAAAUUACAUCGGUAAAUAUAAAGAUUAUGAUAGUGUAUUAAAGGUUCACCAAGCACGGAGUUUAGAGUAGAACGUGACUAUGUCAAGCCAAGAAUCACUAUCGCCUUUUCUUUUUGACAUAGAUAUGAAGGGGUUAUCUCUUCUAUUUAUAAGAGCUUCCACUUCUGGAUUAUUUAAUUAAAGGAAUCCAUUAUGGAAAUGGGAUGCAUAUUGUUGAAUAAACUCAAUCCAGAAGCUCCCAGAUGGUCAAGGAAGGCAACCACCAGCUGCCACCGACCAGCCACCAACCAACCAGCCACCAGCCGCCAGCCACCAGCUGCCACAGCAGCCAGCCGCCUUCACACUUGAAGGUUGAAUUUUCUUGUUUUGAUUUCGUGUAUAAAUAGAGUGCCCAACCUCUGUUAAAUUGUGUGGAGAGAAUUGAGAGGAACACUAGAAAGAGAAAGAGAGAGAGAGGGCGUGUAAUUGUUAAGCUUUUGUUGUGUAAUUGUAAGCUUCGGUUUUUUGUAAUAAAACAGUGUGUUUUAUCCCCUCUGAGUGUUUCAAAGCCACCACCAGUGGUUCCUCCCACCAACAAUUGGUAUCAGAGCUCCGUUCGUCGGAAAACAGAAGAGUUUUGCGGUAUAUCCGAAUUUUCAAAAUUGUCAAAAACAAGUUUUGAUCAUUCCACAGUGUAGAGCUCAUCAAGACGAACUCACUGCCGCAAAAUCAGCCUCAUCGGAGUCGAGGUAGCCCACACGCGCCUGAAUAUCUGCCAGAUCGCCCACGCGCCCCGAGGUUGAAGACGACUGAGCCAACGCGCGCCAUUUUGAGCCGCGCCGCGCCGUUACGCCGAGUCCUAGCCAAGCCGCAAGCCGAGUCCAGCCGAGCCGAGCCGUCCAGCCCGAAAGAAUAUUCCCUGGAAUAUUCCCGAAUAUUCCCCAGAAUAUUCCCGGUUCAACCCAGCGAACCGCCCGCCAUACAGAAUUGGUUUUUUGACCGGUUCACCCAUUUUCUGACCUGAUUUCAACAAAGUCAGACCGGUUCCCAACUAUUUGGACUAUUCCAGAUCGAUAUACAGUGUCCGUUUGGUCAAAUUCGGCUCCCAGAAAGGUGAUAUAGUCAUUCAAAGAGCAAAAUGACUACAGAAGGUACACAUACACUCAUUCCAAAGCUGACCAAAGACAACUAUGAUAGUUGGUGCAUCAGAUUGAAGGCAUUUCUUGGGUCACAAGAGUGUUUGGAUAUUGUACAAACUAGUUAUGAUGAACCAGAGUCCAAAAAAAGAGAAGAUGCUUUACAAGAGGCACAGAAGCAAGCCCUCAAAGUCAACAGAAAGAAAGACAACAAGGCAAAGACCAUCAUCUAACAAGGUCUUGAUGAAGAUACAUUCGAGAUAAUAGCUUCCGCUGAAACAUCACAUGAUAUAUGGGAGGCUCUCCAACAGAAAUACAAAGGUGCUGACAGAAUCAAGAAGAUUCGUCUUCAAUCUUUGAGAGGAGAAUUGAUUAUUGCAAAUGAAGUCCUCAGAGUCUAUUUCUGAUUAUCACACAAGGAUUAUGGUGAUAGUCAACCAGAUGAGAAGAAAUGGAGAAGCCCUCAUCGAUUCUCGAAUUAUGAAAAAAAUUUUGAGAUCCCUAGAUCCAAAAUUCAAUUUUGUUGUUGUCGCAAUUGAAGAGUCCAAGGAAGUGGACAAGUUGACGGUUGAUGAGCUUAUGAGUUCGUUGCAAGCUCAUGAGCAGAAGAUAGUAAAGCGAAAUGAAGAUAAGGCCAUCGAGCAUGCCUUACAAGCAAAGCUGUCUCUCAAAGACAGAUAUGAGCAAGGGGAGACUUCAUCAAGUGGCUACACCACUCAAGGAGGAAGUCAACAAUCCAGAGGAAGAUUCCAGAGAUUCCAAGGAAGAGGUUCUUGGAAUACAAUCUUUAGAGGAAGAGGUGGCAGAAACACCACCAGAGGAGGCUGAGGCCAACAAGCAUUCACUCCUAGAGGAAGAGGAGGCGGUUACAAUAACCGUGACAAGAGAAAUAUCAAAUGUUAUAGUUGCAAUCAAUUUGGGCACUAUAGCACUGAAUGCCGAUGGAAAGCUCCGUUGGAGAUACGUGAGCAUGCCAACUAUGCAGAGAAGGAUGACAGAGAAGCAUCUGCAUUUCUUGUCCAACAAGAACUUGGCGAGAAACAGGAAAAUAUAUGGUAUCUAGAUACUGGAGCCAGCAAUCACAUGUGCGGCUACCGAGAGUUAUUUGGUGAUCUAGAUGAGACCAAGCAAGGUCUAGUUACUUUUGGAGAUACCACAAAGGUUCCAUUCAAAGGUAAAGGCAGCAUCCCAGUCAAGUUGAAGAAUGGCGAUUCCAGCUACAUCGCCGAUGUGUAUUAUGUCCCAGCCAUAAAGCAGAACCUGAUCAGCUUAGGUCAACUUUUGGAGAGAGGAUAUAGUUUUUACUCGAAGAAUUGUCAUCUGACAAUUAGAGACAACAAUGGGAGAUUAAUGGCCUACGUGAAAAUGUCCAAGAAUAGGAUGUUUCCUUUGAACAUCCAGUAUGAUGCAACAAGGUGUUUGAGUGCCAUCACCAACAGUGAAGAAUGGCUUUGGCACCUGAGGCUUGGACAUCUGAAUUUCACGAGUUGAAGAUGCUAGCAAGCAAGAAGAUGGUCAAAGGUUUGCCUCACAUUGAUCAUCCAGAUGAAGUCUGUGAAAGUUGUGUCCUCAGCAAACAUCACAGAUCCAGUUUUGCCAAAGAAGUCAACUGGAGAGCAAAGAGGCCACUGGAGUUAGUACACACAGAUGUGUGUGGCCUAAUUACGCCUAUGUCGACUGGACAAAAUAGGUACUUCCUCACUUUUACUGAUGAUUUUAGUAGAAAGACGUGGAUAUACUUUCUGAAGAGGAAGUCAGAAGUAUUCAAUUGUUUUAAAGAUUUUAAAGCAAUUGUGGAGAAGCAAACUGGUUACACGAUCAGAACCGUAAGAUCUGAUCAAGGUGGAGAAUAUACAGCAAAUGACUUUGAAGCCUAUUGUACACAACAAGGCAUCAGACAUCAACGACACCAGCUUAUACACCACAGCUGAAUGGUGUAGCAGAAAGGAAGAAUCGCACGAUUCUUGACAUGGCAGAAGUCUGCUCAAAGCAAAGAAGUUGCCCAAGCAAUACUGGGCUGAAGCUGUAUCAUGUGCAGUGUAUCUGUUGAAUCGCUGCCCAACCAGAAGUUUGCAAGGAGUCACUCCAGAAGAAGCAUGGAGUGGUCACAAACCAAGUGUUACUCAUCUACGAGUCUUUGGUUGUGUGGCAUAUGCAAAGAUCCCAGAUGCAAGAAGGAGAAAGCUCGAUGAUAAGAGCGAGAAAUGCAUCUUUGUCGGAUAUGGUGAAAGAAGGAUGGGAUACAGGCUGUAUAAUCCCAUCACGAAGAAGGUGAUUACGAGUAGAGAUGUUAUCUUUGAAGAAGAUAAAUCUUGGGCAUGGAAUGAUGAUCAAGAAGCAGUCAGAUGGAUCAACACUGAUUUGAUCCUUGAAGGUGAAGAAGUACCAACAGUACUUGUAGAAGAACCGAUUGUGCCAGCAGCUGAACCACAAAGUCCAGUAUUUAUACCAGCAGCUAAACCACAAAGUCCGGUACACAGAUUCCCUGUAUUCAACAGGAGGAACACACCAGGAGCAUCAUCAUCAACACCACCAUCAGCAUCCUCAUCAGAAAGACCAAGAAGGAUACGGAAUCUUGAAGAGUUGUACGAUACCACUCAGGUCAUGAAAGAUACAACUCUGUUUUGUUUUCAUGCAGAUAGUGACCCAUUAAGCUUCAAUAAAGCUGUCACAGAAAAGAAAUGGAUUAAAGCAAUGGAUGAAGAAAUACAUGCCAUUGAGAAGAAAGAUACCUGGAAGCUGACUUAUCCACCAGAAAAGAAGAAAGCAAUAGGUGUCAAAUGGGUCUACAAGACGAAAGCCAAAUUAGUGGAUAAAGCCUAUAAGCAGAGAGAAGGCAUUGAAAGGAGAAGUGUUCAUGCUUGUCAUGACAUCCCUCGAUUGAGUUUAAAGGGGAGAUUUGUUGAAUAAACUCAAUCCAGAAGCUCCCAGAUGGUCAAGGAAGGCAACCACCAGCUGCCACCGACCAGCCACCAACCGACCAACCACCAACCGCAGCCACCAGCUGCCACAGCCGCCAGCCGCCUUCACACUUGAAGGUUGAAUUUUCUUGUUUUGAUUUCAUGUAUAAAUAGAGUGCCCAGCCUCUGUUAAAUUGUGUGGAGAGAAUUGAGAGGAACACUAGAAAGAGAAAGAGAGAGAGAGGGCGUGUAAUUGUUAAGCUUUUGUUGUGUAAUUGUAAGCUUCGGUUUUUUGUAAUAAAACAGUGUGUUUUAUCCCCUCUGAGUAUUUCAAAGCCACCACCAGUGGUUCCUCCCACCAACACAUAUGAGUUAUUUGCAGAUGAUAAUUUUAGUGUUAUUCCUAAUCAUUUUUUUUGAUAAUUAAUGCUAAACGAUUUUGAGGUGGUUUGAAUUGAGAUCUAAAGGUUAAUUUUUUUUAAAUAUUCACUAGUUGACAUCAACCUAGAUGAUGAAUUUACAGUAGGAAUAACAAAUGUGAUAAAUAGUGUCGCACCCAAAAACUUUCAACGCGCGGCAUCGGCUGGCGAUUUAAAUCUCGUUUAUUGCGUUUGCUUGAAUUUGGUUCGUUGGAGUCGCCACCUAGUAAUUGAUUUCGGGCUACUAGGAAACCGGAUGUACUGGUCUUGUCAGAGAUUCGCGGGUAAGGGACUGGUUGUGGUUAGGGAAGGUAUUAGCACCUCUAACGCACCUACCUGAGGUAAGCUGCUUCGUGGCUUUGACGUGUUAAAGAAGUUUUAAUAAUUGUCUUUUUUCUUCGGAUUAGAAAUAUCACUUACGUAUAAGUUAAUAAUUCUUAACCGUGAUCCGAUCAAAUAUAAAUUCUUCUUUAAUAUAUUUGCAAUUUUAUCAUUAAAAAUAUGUACAAAUAAAUAAAACAAAAUACAAGCACACACAUACACUUUUAUUUUAUUUUUGUUUCUUUUCUUUUCGUUUUCUUUUCUUUUCUUUUACAUCCAUAUUUACAAAAUACAAAUUACAAAACAAAAAAAAAAUCAAAACUAAACAAAUUACAUUAAAAACACAUUAAAAUUACAAAACAAUCCCUAAAAUUCAGGAAAAACAACUCUGGGAAACAACUCAAGCCCGAAUGAACAGUAGCGGCGCGUCUUCCCACGCGCCGCCACUGGAAAACAUGGCAAACCAGGGGUGUAUGGAGCGCCUUCCUCCCCCGUUCAUUUUUCUGCCGGCGGUGAGGAUCCGGUCACCUGCAAACACAAGAGAAAUACACAAAGAGCAGUCGGUUUUAGUUUUUUAGAUCUGUUUUUAAUUUUCUUCUGCCCGUUUCGGAUCUGCUCAAUUCGUUCUCUUUCUGGUGGUUAUUCCUUCGUUCUUCAGAUGGCGGAGUGCUGGGUGGCUCGCCGGCGCGUGCUGCGGCUGAAGAGGGGAUCGUGGAUCUACCACCGGUUUGAAGGAGAUGAUGAGAGUGUUGGCCCGCGCGGGAUCUGUUCGGCCAUCGCUGCUGUUGCUACCCAAUUUUUGACCCAUGUUUUUUUAUAUAUUUUCAAAAAAUCCAAAAAAAACAUUAAGAAAAAUUUGAAAAUUUAAAAAUAUUUUUUUCUCUCUCGAGUCAACCGCAUCUCUUCACUCAAACCAUGUCGACCAGGGUAAAAAAUGAGUUUCGGGCUGUUUCGGGUGAAAAACAUCAUUUUCAACCAAAAUCGGGUUCACCGGGUCAAUACGGGUCAUACCAUGUUGACCAGGGUAAAAAAUGAGUUUCGGGUCAAAAAUAUCAUUUUCGACCAAAACCGAGUUCACCGGGUCAAUACGGGUCAUACCAUGUCGACCAGGGUAAAAAAUGAGUUUCGGGUUGUCUUGGGUCAAAACCGUCAUUUUCGACCAAAACCCGGUUCAUCGGGUCGAUACCCAUCAAAUGUUUUUUUUGGUAUUUCAUUUUUUGGCGGUUGAAACGAGAUUUUUCUAAUACUGAUUUGAAUUUUUAGUUUUACCCAUGUAAAUAUUUAUUAUUAUAUAUAAUAAAACAAAAUUAUGGUAGUUGUGUGCAAUAUUUAUUAUUAUAUAUAAUAAAACAAAAUUAUGGUAGUUGUGUGCAAUAUUUAUUAUUAUAUAUAAUAAAACAAAAUUAUGGUAGUUGUGUGCAUUAUUUCUUAUUAUAUAUAAUAAAAUAGAAUUUAAUGGUUGUUGUCCCGUGGCUAUAAAUAGCCACGAGAGGGGGGCAGAAUAAAAGAGAGAAAAAAAAGAGAGGAAGAGAAAAGAAAAAGAAAAGAAAGAAUCGAUUGAUACUAUUCCUAAUUUUUUUAGUUUUUCUUCAGGAGAGUAGGAUAUUGUCUUUUAAAAAAAACAAUUUAAAAAAUACCAAACAUAUCCCAACACAUCUCAGCCGUUAAUAUAUUCCAGGAUUUAAUCCUGUUGCGCCACGUCAUCCGGUGCACCGAGCUUUCGGUGCACCGCGCCACACAAAAUCAAAAACCAGACAAUCUGGGCCGUCCGAUCAACCUGCUGAUCUAGCCAAUCCCAGCCAUCCGAUCGUUUCAUCCAAGAUCCAACGGUUAACAUCCUUCAGCGGCACCGGUACACCAUACACGCGUCCGCACCGUAGCAAAUCUCGGAGCAUCUCUCUCCUCUCGCCGGCGACUCUCUCUCUCUCCUCAGAUCUCCACUUUCCGGCCAUAUAAAGUCUCCGAACCACCACAGAAAGGUUCCUCACAUGCCGUAAAGUAAAACCCCGGUGGUUUUCAUCGUUUUCACCGCCUCAUCUGGCCGGAAAAAGGCCGCGAUCGUCGCCGGCCACCGAAGCUUCAAGUCGUCGAUUCUCCCUCGUCAGCCAUCAACGGCCGUCGAGACCACCACCAACAGAAUCCUUGACCUCAGAUCUACCAGAACCGACCAUCGGUGGGCCAGAAAUCUCGCCGGAAAAUUUCGCCAUCGUCAACAGUGACAGCGCGUGAGACACACGCGCCGCCAGUGGCAUUUUCGUAAUUUUUCAAGAAAUCCGAGGGUAUUUCAGUCUUUUACCUAUACUGUGUCACUCAUGUAAUUUUUUUUUUGAUUGCUAAUUUUUUUUUAUUUUGUAUAUAAAUUUUCUUGCAUGUUGUAAAACAAAAAAUAAACACAAAAAAAGAAUAACAACGCGGGUCCAACACCCAUCCUAUUAUGUCAUCAUUCGUGGGUCCAAAGCCCAAUUUUUAAAUAUAGUUAUAGCCAUAUCUCAACGAUAUUAAAAUAUUUGUUUUUAUAAACAAAUAUUGUUUGUCGACACGUCUCUUUUUAUAAAAAGGACCGAUGUCAAAUAAAAAAGUUUAAAUACCAAACAAAUAUGGAUUAUGUCCAUAAUUUUGUUUUUUGGUAACUCAGACGUACUUCUCCUUUUUAGGGUUAAACGUCAAUAUUUUAGACAAGUCUCCUAUUUUUAGGGACUGAUGUCAUUUUUAACGUGUCUCCUAUUUUUUUUAGGGACCGACGUUAACCAUAAAAAAAAUAAUAAAAUUGCAAAUAAACUCAAAAUAUAAUAUCAUUUGAAACAAAUAAAAAAACACACAAGUAAGGGUAACCUUUCUUUUGAAAGGAUGUUUUAAGGGUGGUGUCUACCUUCCCUUAAUCAUAACUAACCCAGUACCCGAAUCUCUGGGACCAGUGUCUAAUUUGGGAUUUCUAGUUCCCUCAAAUUACUAGAUGGCGACUCCAAUAAAUUUUUCAUUUCCCCCAAUUAAACAAAUCUUUUUUGUUAAAUAAACAAAAAUGAGCGGAGCCGUCGCCCGACGUCGUGUAUCGACAGUUGCUGUGGAAGGAAAUCGACGGAGGAGCAGCCGUGGCUGAGGAGAUCGCCUACAGAUCGGUGGCUUGGUGGUCUGUCGGUGUCCGGAGGGAAGUCCUUGGUCGCUGCCUAGAGGCCGAAUGGAGAGGAGAGUGAACAGCGGUUGAUGGCUCCGGGUGAGGCUGGUUCGGUGGUGCUGCCCGUUGCAAGUGAGAGGGUGAGGUUUUUUUGGCUUGGGAAAUUGCCGGCUAUGGAGAUGGAAAUGAGGGGGGAACGAAGUGGCUGGGUCCGAAAAAAUCAAAGCCAAGGGGAAAGAGCUGAUGAGCGGGGGAAGCGACCGAGGAAGAAUGAAAAAAAUUCGAAGGGCUGGGGGACGGCGGCGUUUCUUUUUUUUGUGCAGGGAGAGGGGAAGGUCUCGGUGACCGGUUUCUGGUUAAGGUGAAAAAUAUGGGGGAACAGCGUGGGUAGAAGCUGAGGGAAGGGCUGUUUGGCUUUGGUUUGUGGCCGGCGGCUGUAAAAAAAAAAAAUAAUAACCAGGGGGAAAGGGGGGCUGCAGGCUUGGUAGAGAUAGGUUUAGGGUUAGGUUAUUUUUUGUAUUUUCUGAUAUUUCAAAAUUGCCCCCCUCCUUUGUGUGAGUUAAAGACCAGUAUUUAUAGGCAAAAAUGUUGCCAAGUUUUUCAACUUGGUCCCUCAACUUCUUUCUUUUUGUAAAUUUUGAUUUUUCUUAUUUUUUUGUAUUUUUUGAAAACAAGAAAUAUCAACGUCGACUCAAAUGCGGAAAAUCAAUGAUUUUAAAAAUGACGCGUGAAAAAUCGAACGCGUUUGAAAAUAUUUUAACAAUUUAAAUUCUUUUUUAGACGACGUUGAAAAUACUAAAAUGACGAAAAUAUAUUAAAAAACAUAUUUUUUGGAUUUUCUUUGUUUUUCUCAAUUUUUUGGAUUUUUGAAAAUAUAUCAAAACAUGGGUCAAAAAUUGGGUAGCAACAGAUGCCCCCUCUUUACAAUGCUUACGAAGCAAAACUCCUCAAAAUUUUGCAUAGUAAGCUUUGUACAGAAAACAAAAGGAAAAUAAUUUUAUUAUCUUGGGCAACCUGACUACACAUACUCACUCUAGUCUAUUUUCACGGGCGACCGACCCACACUCUCCCAAUAGUCUAUUUUCACGGGCGACCUGCCCACACAUUGGGUUUACCUGAGAUCCCAUCUGGCGACCUCAUUCAACUGGAACGAAAAUAUUGUGUAACUCGGUUAACCUGAAAUCCCAUCUGGCGAUUCCCUUUAACCAAAGCUACCCGAGAUCCCAUCUGGCGACCUCAUUUAACCAAAACAAAAGAAUGUGAAAAAUGGUCUCAUUGUAUGGGUGACAAACCCAAGAAAAAAAUGAUGGUCUCAUUGUAUGGGUGACGAACCCCAGAAAAAUGUUGGUCUCAUUGUAUGGGUGACGAACCCCAGAAAUAUGAUGGUCUCAUUGUAUGGGUGACGAACCCCAGAAAUAUGAUGGUCUCAUUGUAUGGGUGACGAACCCCAGAAAAAUGAUGGUCUCAUUGUAUGGGUGACGAACCCAGGAAAAAUGAUGGUCUCAUUGUAUGGGUGACGAACCCAGAUGGAAAAAAAUGUGAAGUGUGGUCGCAUUGUAAUGGGUGACCUACCCACGUGGAAAAAAUAUGAAGUGUGGUCUCAUUGUAAUGGGUGACCUACCCAGAUAAAAAAGAAUAUGAAGUGCGGUCUCAUUGUAAUGGGUGACCUACCCAAAAAUGGAAAAAUAUGAAGUGUGGUCUCAUUGUAAUGGGUGACCUACCCAGAUGGAAAAAAUAUGAUGAAGUGGUCUCGUUGUGAUGGGCGACCUACCCAGAUAGAAAGAAUGUGAAGUGCGGUCUCAUUGUAAUGGGUGACCUACCCAGAUGGAAAAAAUAUGAUGAACGGUCUUAUUAUGAUGGGCGACCUACCCAGAUGGAAAAAAUGUGAUAUGACAAGUGUGAAAAAUAGGACUUACCUGGCGAAAUCCUGAGGGGAUGACAGAAGAAGGGCUGGAAAACUUGGUGCUUCCUGAUAAUUCCCGAUCAUAGGGUUUGAAAACUCGGUGUUUCCUGACUGCAAGGGUUGAAAACUCGAGGCUUCCCGAUUGCAAGGUUGAUCUUUCCAUUUCUUUGGGAUUUUCCUAAUGGUAGGGUUCAUCCCAUCGUCCUUUUAUUCGAUGAUCAAAACCGAUUCUUUAUUAUCAUCACCACAAUGCUUCUUUCUCUUUCCACCAUCUUGCUGGACCUCAUUAAGGAUUUUCCUGUAACAAUUCAAAAAUAUGUGCAAAUGGUUUUUUUUUUUUUUUUUUUUUUUUUUUUGAGGUUAGAUGAUAUACAUGCAUCCUUACCUGUUUUGAAAUAAUAGGUCCCCCCUCUUUGAUGCUCCAUCGUCAUAGGGUGCCCUUAUUUGUAUCCCAAAGCUUUCUUUGUUCUUCCGAUGUAUUGGCUCAUUCAUGUGUUAGUCAUCCACUCAGCUGUAAAUGCAGUGCCCAUCCCGGGCUGUCUUCGACAAUUACUGCUUGCAUCGUUCAUGAAGCUUGACCCUCCCCCCAAGUGUAGUACUGCUUGAUUCAUCAUGAGCGAUUUUCUCUCCUGGCUUCUUCUGAGAAAUUAUCCUCUGAUUGAUUGUGUGCAUCAUGCCAACACCCAUCACGUUUGUUAAUCAGUCAUGAACUUGCCUUCGGUUGAAACACCAUUCAAGUAUGUAUGGUCACCAGCCUUCAUGGAACUGCCAAGUCAUCUAGACAUGUAUCUCAUACUUUGCAGUAAACAACUCAUCAUUGUAAGCGCGAUGUAUUUCUCUAUGGAUUCCUCUUAGCUUGUCAAAUCAGAUCAUGAAAAUACUUGCUUUGGCAUCAUUAAUGAUGUUCAUGUUAUCACCCAUAUUCAUGCGGUGAAGUGCGCAUUUGAGCUUCAGAAUAGAUGGUCCCAUAGUCAGUCUUGGUGGUGCAUCCUCCUUUCAGCCUUCAUGCACAUGCAACUGUGUGAUAACAUCGUUCAAAAGUCAUAACCAUGUUGAAGAUGAUAAACCAAGAUGAAGACAUGAAAAUAUCCUUCUAGUGCAUCGUUUCUCAUCAAUUGCUGCUGAAGUUCACUAAAUCAUGGAUUGUCUUUGAACAACAUUGCCCCUAGUUGAUCUGAACAUGCUCAUUCUUUUGUUUACAACCAAAUGGCUUUUGUGAAUGUCAGGAAGGACUUUGAUGGACUUUGAUGAUUCAUCAUGUGAUUCUUUCUUUGCCCCCAGCUGAUCUGGAUACUGUUUGCUUUCCCUCUUAAGGUCCACUGUAUUGCCCCCAGGUGGUCAACGUUUCAAAGAGUGUCGAGAAAUGUUGAUGUCAUUUUUUGUCAAGAAUUUUGCAAACUCAAUUGAUGUUCUUGUUUGAAAAUCUUUCUUGUUCUGGAAUCAAAUCUCAACAUUUCAACGAUCAUGUCUAUUCAAGUAUAAUUGUUGAAAUGAAAUCAAAGAGAUAUCAGUUUUUGAAAAGUUAUUUUUGAAAUUCGAGCUCCUUUGGUCAAAGACCCAACACACUAUUCACUGCAGUCCUUUGAUUGUCUUGUAUUUUGAAAACAGAAAUGACCCGUUGUAAGAUUAAAAUGACUUUUUCAUGGUUCUGUCCACUUUAAACUCUGAUUUUGGGUAUAUCUUUUGAUGGUAUGGUGAGGUGAUAUUUUUGUGAAUUUCAAAACAAGAUGCUCAGGCUUGAUAAAGAAAGGUUGUUUCUCUUCUAGUAUUUAUUUUAUCAGCAUGCAUAAUAACCAGUAGCUUAAUUCAUGAAGUCACGACCCUUAUAAAAACUCUUCAAGUUUUGAGAGCGCCAUUUAUGGUUCAAAUUGCUUGCUUGAUUAAAAAGGGCUUUUAAAAGCACGUAAUGCAGGCUAUGGUUCAUGGCUAUGAAAGAAAGGAAUUUCAAAGGCUCAAAAGGUGUUUGAGGGUUUCAAAGACCUAGGAUCAACAUCAACUAUUCAUCAACUCUUUCUAUUGUUGUCUUUGUAGGAAACGACAUAUAACCUUGUUAACCUCAAAGUUCAGAUUUCUUAACAUAGGUCAUAAUGCAAAUCCAACCUUUCCUUGAUGACUAACCAACCUUAAUCAUCUGAUAACAUCAAGAGCUUUAUAAUGGAUACCAAAAUUCAACGCUUAUAGCUUAGUCUUUUUCUGGUAUUGACUUUUGUUGUGCCUUUCCUUGAUUGAAAUUUCUUUUGCUCUUCAUAAACUUGAUAGGCGUUCUCCUUCCUUUAUCUUUGACUUGUAUUUAAGUGAAGGCAAUUUCAACUUCCUUUUUUUCAUUCUCUUUUUUUUUUCAUAGCCUUCCUCAAAAUUUUCUUAUAUGCCCCCAGUCUAUGUGUUUUCUUUUAGCUCUCUCUCAAUCAUUGGACCUUUGUUAUAAGCCUUCCCCUUUAUCCAUUAAUUAUAUCAAUGUCUCCAAAAUAUCUCUCAUUUGCCCCUAGUGUGGGGUGUGAUCCUAGUCAGGGUUUCUUUUUGAAAGAAAAUAUUUUACCAGGCUCAAAAUGGGACUGCAAGGGAUAUAAUCUUUAGAAAGUGAAGGGAUAUCAAAGAUGGCCUUUUCUCAUUUCAAGCAAGGUCGGUUAAACCGAUAAAUUUUGACCUCAUCCAGUGUAAUGAUUGGACUUGUAAGAGUCAUGAUUCACGAGUCCAUAACUAUUGAAUCCACUACAUGUCAUUAUGCAUACUGCUAAAACUUAGCUAUAUGAUGUGUGGUUCAGUUUCAAAAGGUAUGAGUUCAAAAUUGUUUGGUCACCUCAUGUCAUUUUCAAGCAUAGAGUCAUUUCUGUAAUCAAAACACUUUUAAUCUUCCGGAUUGAUUAACCUUUAUCGCAUGUUGGAGUUUGAUCAAAAUAUUUUGUCAGAAUAAAAUGUUAAACAUCUGUUGAUUUCAAAACAACAAAGAGACAAAAGCAAGGCAUGUUUCGUUGAAGGAUGAGAUGUGAUCCCAAAACAAAAUGCAGAAUUCCAAAACAAUAUGAUUGACUGUUCAUCACCAUUCUUGAAUCAGCUUUUCUGGCAAUAUCUGUGUUUUGCCAAGCAUUUUCGAUCACAUGUUUCUGAAGAUGUUCGGGGAACAAUAUAGCCAAUGACACCCUCUUCAACGACUCCACUUGUCUCUUGCUCACCAACUUUCAGACUCUUCUUGCAAUUCUUGAAACUGUUCACUUGAAAUGGUUGAGGACCCCACCAUGACAUCACAUCUCUUUCUGGAUUAACCACCUAGAAAUUGGUGGUUGCAUGGGAUUUGUCGGAGUCAAGCAAAAUUCUGGAAUCUGGCAGAUGCUGGUCGACAAACUUAAGUGGCAGAGGAAUGUCCCAUCUUGGCAAAGACAUUUGAGCAAUUGAUGCUACCGUGAGACCUGGCUAUACCACAUAAUUAAGGGUUCACACCGUCAAAGUCAUCUCCUGAUUCAUCUCAUCAUUGUUCUGGAAUCCAUGGCAGAUCCUUCAAUCUUUCUCUUCAUAGCUUGUUCAAUUUUCGGCAAAUCCUCACAACUUAUUUCAAUCUUCCAAUGUUGUGUUGGUUGAGGAUUGUUAGAAAACUUUCUAACAGCUUGGUAAUCUUGGCAGCGCCCAGAAACUUGUAGUAUCGCCACUACCGUGUGGAAUCACACAUUGUCUCUAUUGGAAGAGCACCUGAUGAAUCUAAAACUCCUUUGUCCCCUCUUCGAUUUCUCACUGACAGUGCAGCAAACAAACACCUAUAGAGGAAGUCCUGCUCUGUUGAAGUUUCAGUAUUCUUCAUGUUUUUCAGUCUAGGCAUGUCUCUUCUCUCUACUUUUGCUUUUAAUACUGACACUGUUGGAGGAAAAUCAUAGAUGAUCUGAAACUACUGUAUUCCUUCUUGGAUUUCCCACUUGCGGAUCCACAAACAGAUUCCUGCGAGAGAGCUCUACGUUGAAGUUUGAUGUCUGCUCGUAUUUUUCAGACCAGGUCUGGCUCUUCAACCUACUAAGAUGUCUUCGUGCUGAAACUGAUGAGAGAAAUAUUUGUAGCAUAUGCAACUUAUAAAUCCCCUCUUGCAUUCCCAAUUUGCAGAGCCAUAAAUGGAUUUUAUAGAGGAGCUCUGCCACAUUGAAGUUCAGUGUUAAUCAUGGUUUUUCAGACCAUCUUGUGCUGCUGAACUGGAAUUGAGCUCAUAAUGGGGUAACUUCAAAGCAGACUAAUGCACCAUGUACAUGAGGCUAGUGGUCGUUUGGUUCCAUUAGAUGAUGUGGAGGCGAUGAACACUUAACAGUGCAACUGGACAAGAAUCAGAGUUGUCAUUAGUUGAUGACUGAAGGCAUUGUUGUUUUGUUCAUGACGGAAAAGGAGAGAUACACUUCAAUUGGAUGAACAAGCAGUGUUCCCACAGAAACUGUGCAGACACUCUCUUUCCAUUUGAUGCUCAACACUUGUUCGAGCAGAUCUGAGUCGCUACUUCACCUUGAUGCUCUCAACCUAUAUCUGAGCCUCUUUGUUCACUUCCAUUCAUUUUUCUUCAAUCGUGCAGCACAGCUUGUAUGGGGACCUACUUUCACCCGGUACAUGCAUGAUAAAUGUAUGAACAUGUAAUCUAUAUGAUGAACUCACCCUUCGAGAGGUGACAAUAUGGUCGUAACUCUUGUAUGAUGGACAAGAAUCGUGAUUUUUGCCCAAACUCUACAAUGAAAAUUUUCGGAGCAACGGCCAAUGUGUCACCCACAAGUCUUGAGUUCAAGAUGCUUCAAGAAGGGUUUGCCCUUAUGCAAAAAACGAUAGCACAUACAACCUAAGGACAGGUUCUAUUCAUUAUGUGAACAUGGGUAGGUUUUCUAUCUGGUCUCAAAAGGGUCUCAUAUCUGCCCAGUGACGUUCUUCGUAAAGACAGUAUGGGGGCGUUGCAAGGAAUGGUUAAGGCACGUAUACCCACCAUUACCAAGCAGGCACUCAGAUAUGAGUUGGGUGUUUCACGCAUCUGAACCCUGACCAAUAGUCUUAGGGCAGAUCGCUAGUUCCCCACCUAACCUAGAAGCUUGUGUGUGCUUUCAAAAAUAAAUACAGGUGAUGCAUGAGACAAUUCUAUAAAAUGCAUGGAAAUAAAUAUUAACAAAAAAGAUAAAAAUGCAAAAACUUAAACACAUCAAAUACACAAAGCUUAGUCCAAAUCGAAAAAUACCUUCCCAGUGGAGUCGCCAUUCUGUCGCACCCCAAAAAAAUCAGCGCGCGGCAUCGGCUGGCGAUUUAAUCUCGUUUUUGCGUUUGCUUGAAUUUGGUUCGUUGGAGUCGCCACCUAGUAAUUGAUUUCGGGCUACUAGGAAACCGGAUGUACUGGUCUUGUCAGAGAUUCGCGGGUAAGGGACUGGUUGUGGUUAGGGAAGGUAUUAGCACCCCUAACGCACCCUACCUGAGGUAAGCUGCUUCGUGGCUUUGACGUGUUAAAGAAGUUUUAAUAAUUGUCUUUUCUUCAGAAAUUAGAAAUAUCACUUACGUAUAAGUUAAUAAUUCUUAACCGUGAUCCGAUCAAAAUAUUAAAUUCUUCUUUAAUAUAUUUGCAAUUUUAUCAUUAAAAAAUAUGUACAAAUAAAUAAAACAAAAAUACAAGCACACACAUACACUUUCACUAUUUUAUUUUUGUUUCUUUUCUUUUCUUUUUCUUUUCUUUUCUUUUACAUCCAUAUUUACAAAAUACAAAUUACAAAAACAAAAAAAAAAAUCAAAACUAAACAAAUUACAUUAAAAACACAUUAAAAUUACAAAACAAUCCCUAAAAUUCAGGAAAAACAACUCUGGGAAACAACUCAAGCCCGAAUGAACAGUAGCGGCGCGUCUUCCCACGCGCCACCGCUACUGGCGGCGCGUGGGUUCACGCGCCGCCACUGGAAAACAUGGCAAACCAGGGGUGUAUGGAGCGCCUUCCUCCCCCGUUCAUUUUUAUGCCGGCGGUGAGGAUCCGGUCACCUACAAACACAAGAGAAAUACACAAAGAGCAGUCGGUUUUAGUUUUUUAGAUCUGUUUUUAAUUUUCUUCUGCCCGUUUCGGAUCUGCUCAAUUCGUUCUCUUUCUGGUGGUUAUUCCUUCGUUCUUCAGAUGGCGGAGUGCUGGGUGGCUCGCCGGGCGUGCUGCGGCUGAAGAGGGGAUCGUGGAUCUACCACCGGUUGAAGGAGAUGAUGAGAGUGUUGGCCCCGCGCGGGAUCUGUUCGGCCAUCGCUGCUGUGGAAGGAAAUCGACGGAGGAGCAGCCGUGGCUGAGGAGAUCGCCUACAGAUCGGUGGCUUGGUGGUCUGUCGGUGUCCGGAGGGAAGUCCUUGGUCGCUGCCUAGAGGCCGAAUGGAGAGGAGAGUGAACAGCGGUUGAUGGCUCCGGGUGAGGCUGGUUCGGUGGUGCUGCCCGUUGCAAGUGAGAGGGUGAAGUUUUUUUGGCUUUGGAAAUUGCCGGCUAUGGAUGUUGCUACCCAAUUUUUGACCCAUGUUUUUGAUAUAUUUUCAAAAAAUCCAAAAAUAGAGAAAAACAAAGAAAAUCCAAAAAAUAUAUGUUUUUAAUAUAUUUUCGUCAUUUUAGCAUUUUCAACGUCGUUUAAAAUUUUUAAGGGUCUUUCGAAUGCGUUCGACUUUUCACGCGUCAUUUUCAAAAUAAUUGAUUUUCCGUAUUUGAGUCGACGUUGAUAUUGCUUGUUUUCAAAAAAAAAUACAAAAAAAACAAGAAAAAUCAAAUUUUACAAAAAAAGAAAGUUAAGGGACCAAUAUUGAAAACUUGUCAAUAUUUUUUGCCUAUAAAUACUGGUGUCCAACACUUGCAAAGGGGGGGCUAAUUUUGCAAUUAAAGAAGACAACCAAAAAACCCUAAGGGCUGAACAUUUUUUUCAUCUCCUGCACCCUAGGCAGCCGCCCCCCCUCCCCUGGAUUUUCUUCUCUGCGCCCUCAACUGCACAGCCGGCUCCCUCUUUUCCUUUCCUUUCCCCCUGCCCAGCACCAGCUCCCACAGCACCGUUUCCCUCCAGCUUCUUCACCCAAAACCAUCCUUCCAUCUCCAGUUUUCUGCUCACACAAGACAGCCCCUCACCUCCUCUCUCUUACUCCGAUCUUCACUCAUCAACUGGCCAUAGACCAACAACAGCCACGAAUUAGCUCCCCCUUCCACAGAUCCUCUCUCAGCUGCUCCCUUCUCCAGCCGCAGCGGCGCCUUCUUCAUCCGGCAGCACCCAGCAGAGCCUUCCUUCUCCAGCUCCUCCCUCAUAAAUCGCCCUCCACCAAGCUACACAGCAGCAGGCUCCUCCACACCGAAGCCCCGAACACAACAGCAGCAAAGGACAGCCCUCCUCCAGCCGUUCCCCCCAGCUUCAGCAGUGCCCACAGACCGGCCACCAGCAGCAGCAGCCGAUCUCCUUCACCGUCGUUUGCCAGCCUCCAGCACUCCUUGCUGCCAGUACAUGGAACAAGGGAGAAGAGGAUGAGCAGCAGCAGCUGAUCUGCUACGAAGCAGACCCAAAAGAGGCCGUGGCAGAUCUAAAAAGGGAGAGCCGGAAUUGGUUGUGUUGUUGGUUUUACUUUGCAGGUGACUGGGAGAUGCACUGCCGGUACGAACGAGAAGAGAAGAAGGAGACAAUCCCGAUCUACCAGCUUGCUGGUCUUCACCGGCGGUGGGCGUGAGGCCCACGCGCCGCCACUGUUCCCGCGCCCAGAAAACUUCCUUGACACUGUUCCGACUAUAGAGGGCUAUCCCUGUAAUUUCAGAUUGUUUUAGGGCUAAUUUUUGUAAUUGUAAAAAUUGUUUAAUGUUUUUUUUUGUUUAGUUGACUUUUUAUAAUUUGUAAUGUUGAUGUAACAAAAAAAGAAAGAGAAAGAAAAAAAAAGUAAUAAAAAGAAAGUGUGUGUUGUUUUUUUUAUUUAUUUAUGAAUUAUAAAAAAAAAAGGACGAAUUAAUUGUUAAUUUAAAUAUGGUUAAAUAUCAAGGACAAAUAAAAUCAAGUUGUAUUUUCUACGAAAAUGUAAGACAAGUUUCUACAUAUAUUCGGGAAUUCAAUAACUGAUUUAUUCAAGCCUUAGAAUUUAAUUAAUAUUGACAAAGAAUUGAUUUAAUUUAAAUAUGUUUAAAUAUCUCAAGGACAAAUAAAAUCAAGUUGUAUUUUCCAUGAAAAUGUAAGAACAAGUUUUUACAUAUAUUCGGGGAUUUAAUAACUGAUUUAUUCAAGCCUUAGAAUUUAAUUAAUAUUUUAAAUUUUCAAAUCACAUUAGAACACAAAGCAGCUUACCUAAGGUAGGGUGUGUUAGGGGUGCUAAUACCUUCCCUAACCACAACCAGUCCCUUACCCGCGAUCUCUGAUAAGACCAGUACAUCAGGUUUCCUAGUAGCCCUCAAUAAAUUACUAGGUGGCGACUCCAACGAACGAAUUCAAAAGAAAACGCAACAAACAAUGAAAAAUCGCCAGCCGACGCCGCGCGCAGGAUUUUUUUGGGGUGCGACAAUGGAGAUGGAAAUGAGGGGGGAACGAAGUGGCUGGGUCCGAAAAAAUCAAAGCCAAGGGGAAAGAGCUGAUGAGCGGGGGAAGCGACCGAGGAAGAAUGAAAAAAAUUCGAAGGGCUGGGGGACGGCGGCGUUUCUUUUUUUUGUGCAGGGAGAGGGGAAGGUCUCGGUGACCGGUUUCUGGUUAAGGUGAAAAAUAUGGGGGAACAGCGUGGGUAGAAGCUGAGGGAAGGGCUGUUUGGCUUUGGUUUGUGGCCGGCGGCUGUAAAAAAAAAAAAAAAACCAGGGGGAAAGGGGGGCUGCAGGCUUGGUUGAGAUAGGUUUAGGGUUAGGUUAUUUUUUGUAUUUUCUGAUAUUUCAAAAUUGCCCCCCUCCUUUGUGUGAGUUAAAGACCAGUAUUUAUAGGCAAAAAUGUUGCCAAGUUUUUCAACUUGGUCCCUCAACUUCUUUCUUUUUGUAAAUUUUGAUUUUUCUUAUUUUUUUGUAUUUUUUGAAAACGAGCAAUAUCAACGUCGACUCAAAUGCGGAAAAUCAAUGAUUUUAAAAAUGACGCGUGAAAAAUCGAACGCGUUUGAAAAUAUUUUAACAAUUUAAAUUCUUUUUUAGACGACGUUGAAAAUACUAAAAUGACGAAAAUAUAUUAAAAAACAUAUUUUUUGGAUUUUCUUUGUUUUUCUCAAUUUUUUGGAUUUUUGAAAAUAUAUCAAAACAUGGGUCAAAAAUUGGGUAGCAACAAAUAGCAUCCGCACAAGACUAGUUUCAUGGAAAGGUAAGUUCUAGCGAAAUGCAUUCACGGUGUUAUCAUAUGGAAUUUUAUGGGGGUAUUUGGACUGCAAGAAAUAAGCAUGUUCAAAGAUAAAAAGCUUGAUUGAAAUACAUUGUUUCAACUGAUACUCCAUCGUCUAGAACUUUCAUUAAAGGUCCGGAAUAAUAAUUUCUCAUACACGAAGAAUAAUUUGAUUUAAGGUCUCCAAGGCAUUUUAACAAGGUCUAAUAAGUGAUGAGUUCUUGUUUAUUAGUAGCAACUUCUUUGUAACUUCUUUUUAUGUUUUUCUCUAUAACUUCCUGUUUAUUAUAGCCUGAAUGAUAUGUAGUUUUAUCAAUAAUUAACUCGAUUGAUGAGUUGACGUCAUUCAUCAAACGCAAAUUAAGCUCUUAAUUAAUGAGAGGAAAAUGUAGGGUUGGAAAAAAGUUUGGAAGUGAUAAUCAGUACAUACCAAGCCAAAUAAGAUUGUCUCAGGUACUAAAUAGGAUUGUGUCCGGUGUAGUAAUAAAGUUUCUACCUUCUAUGGUAUAUAAAAUGUCUGACCACUUCAACAACAUGUCACGUAAAGAGUGCAUUAAUGUCAUUAUCCUAGAAAUUUUUCCCACACUUUAUUUAUUUUGCUAAACUUUAUAUACUAAAUUAUAAUCAACUCCUAGAUAUUUUACACGUAAAAUUAUAGACCUCGUCCACUUUGUGCCUCUAUAAAUAGCUUAACCUCGACCUUAUCUCCACACAUCACAAGAAAUUCCUUUCUCUCUUUGCAUAUCAAUAUCAAAACUCCCUUCAGGAGUAGCGAAAAUGAGAAGCAAUAUACUACUUACCAUUAUCUUAGCCAUAGUUCUUGCAGGAGCCCUGCCCAAGAAUGUGGUAGAGGCUCAGAAUUGUGGCUGUGCUGCAAACCUUUGUUGCAGUCAAUAUGGCUACUGUGGCACCGGCGAUCCCUAUUGUGGUCAGGGAUGUAAACAAGGGCCCUGUUAUUCAUCGCCUACGCCUACUACUCCUAGUGGGAGUGGUUCUGUUGCUGAUAUUGUUACGCCUGCUUUCUUCAAUGGUAUAAUCAACCAAGCUGCUGCAAGCUGUGCUGGGAAGAAUUUCUAUACAAGAAAUGCAUUUCUCAGUGCUGUCAAUUCAUAUUCUCAGUUUGGUAAACUUGGUUCAGCUGAAGCUUCUAAGCGUGAGAUCGCAGCUUUCUUCGCUCAUGUUACUCAUGAGACUGGACGUAAGUUCCUCUUCCAUCCCUAAUAACAUUUCUCGCAGCAUUCGAAUAUGGAUUUUGUCAACAAAGUGAACUGUCUAAUAAGUGUGUUUCAGAUCCUCGUGUGUAAACUGACAAGAGAAAAUGUCAUAUUUUGCAGACUUCUGCUAUAUAGAAGAGAUAAAUGGUGCUUCCGGUGACUACUGUGAUGAAAACAACAGGGAAUACCCAUGUGUUGCAGGCAAGAAAUACUAUGGCCGCGGACCACUCCAACUAUCAUGGAACUACAACUAUGGGCCAGCCGGAAGGAGCAACAACUUUGAUGGAUUGAACAAUCCUGACAUUGUAGCAAGGGAUGCGGUUGUGUCAUUUAAGACAGCCUUAUGGUUUUGGAUGAACAGAGUUCGUCCUGUUGUAAGCCAAGGUUUUGGAGCAACUAUUCGAGCCAUUAAUAGUAUAGAAUGCAAUGGUGGAAACGCAGGUGCUGUUCAGGCUCGUGUUAGAUAUUAUAGAGAUUAUUGCAGUCAACUCGGCGUUUCUACUGAGAAUAACCUCACUUGCUAGGUUUUUAAAUAACCUGAGUUGUUAUGCCAAGUUAUGGCUAAUCAUAUGAAAAUAAGAUGUACUGCUAUGAAACAAAUUGAAGAGAAAUAAAGUUUAUAAUUAUCGUUAUGUCUCGUAUAGUUUUUCAGUAAUUUUGAUGUCCCUUUUCAUAUUUGUUUUUAUUACUUGGAAAAACCUCCACUUUACUUCGCCAUAAAUUUGUGUUGAAAUUCAAUUUACGCCUUGUACGUAUUUUAUUUUCCAUCAAUUGAGUCCAUUAUAACCAAAAGAUUGUCCAUCCAACCCAAUAUAUUAGCAAUUUGAAAUUGAAAUCACUAUAUGUGUGCAUAUUCAUUUAAUUUAUUCUUCCAUUUCCAUAAUACAUUUUUCAAAUUUAUGUUAAUAUCCAUAGUAGGAUCUACUCUAAUUAAUUACUUCUCGAGUAAAACAAAAUUUCAUGAUUAUGACAUUUUUUCUUUUUAUGUUUUUGAAAAUGAAAGGUUGUGUUGCCUUGCCUAUUAUGUUUAUAAUACAUGUUCAGCUUACUUUUCAUCUUUCAAAUUUGGUUGAUGCAGAGUGUUUUUUAAAAUGAUUUUUAUUUAAAAAUAUAUUAAAAUUAUAUUUUAUUUUUCAUAUUAGUAUAUUCAAACAAUAAAAAAAACUUUUUCAAAAACAAAUUAAAAUUUAAAAAAUACAGUGCAACCGCACUUCUAAACAACACCGAAGUUAAAAAGAAACUAAGUUGUGGUUUUUUAGAUGUUAAGAGCCUAUUUGAGAACACGGUGUAAACCACAUUCUUUUAAAUUUAAAAAAAAUUGCUAAAAUUUAUUUUUUUAUGUCUUGAGAUUUUUUAAUGUGUUAAUGUUAAAAUAAUUUUAAAAAUUAAAAAAUAAAAAAUAUAUAUUUUUUAAAAAACAACUUUAGACUGCAACAACUAUUGAAAUUUUAAACAGUCCAUAAGAAAUUGAAUUGAAUUGUACAGGAUCUUUGCCAUGGAAUCACUAUUGGGAUUAUUUAGUGGUUCAAAAUCAUGUUGAGCUAGCCGACGUUGAAAAUCAUCAAUAUUAAUGGAGAGACUUUUCAAAGAAGUUGUCAAGUCCAUUUCUGACAUGAUAGCAAUUAUGGAUUGGGGUCCAUGUCCAUGUACCAACAUUGUAUAGAUCAUGAACCAAGUUUAAUGUCAAAGGAUCGAUUUGCCAGGAAAAAAAAAUUGAAAAAUGAAAAAUUAGGCAACUUGCUGUGAUUUCCUUUUGCUUCCCUAUUAUCGUAUUGUUCGGCGGUGCUAGGCCAUGUGCUUGGCUCACUUGACCGGCAGCACUAUAUGUUGACCAAAGCAAAUAUGAUCUUUUCCAAGAUAUACGAUAUGGCCGCAGUGUGGUCAAAUAUCUUGGUAGUGUUGAUUAAUGGAGAGCUAAAGCCACAGCCCACCCAUUUCUUAUCCACCUAGCCAGAUGAGGAAGAAACGAUGGCUCCUAUUUUACUUAUUUUUCAGCUGCAAGAGCUGAGUUGUAGUAAGGUGGAAUGAGUUGACAUGACAUGUGUUGGAAUGAGCUGUAUCUAUCCCAACUCGUUGCAUGUUUUGGUUAUAAAAUCUUUUUAAAAGUAUUUCUAAGUUUUUUUUUGUUAUAUAUUUUUAAUUUUUAUUAAUUUUUUAGUGUUUUAAAAUUAUUUUGAUGUAUCGAUAUUAUAAAAAAAAUUUAAAAAAUAAAAAUUUAUUAUUUUAAUGUAUUUUUAAAUAAAAUAUACUUUUAAAAACAAAAUUUAAAUUAGCAGUAAAAACACAACAUAAAUGUGACAAAACACAGUGAGCUAAACACCAAGAGAAAGAGUGUUUAUCCAACCUAGUUAAAUCUUAGGCGUCGAUUCUGGGCAUCCAUUUUAAUCCUGACCGUUAGCUACAAAAACUGGAAAAAGAAAGGAGCACUAGAAGACGGCUUCAGUUUUAUCUUUUUCUAUCCUUUCAUUUAUGGUACGUUGAAAGGUUGUCUUCUCUAUCUUAAAAAUAUAUAGGGAGGGGACGUAGAUUUCGGGUAAUUGGCUAGUCAACGUCGGCUAUGCCCAUACUGUGCCAUUGGGCGCCACUAUCCUUCCAUUUAUGGUAAUUGACUAUUCAACGUUUUUCUUUUCACAUAGUUGUGGGGUGUCUACUCUUCGAAUGGGGUUCUUCUAGUCCUAGAUAGGAUACUACCUUUUCUUUCGUUAGGAGAUAGGAUUUGUCAUACUUUUUCCCUUCAAAUGCUGAAAUUAUUAAAAAAUAAUAUAAAUUAAAUCUCAUUUAAUAACUUAAAUUUUUUGAUUGAAAUGAUUUUUUGAUAUUUUUAAAUUUUUUGAUUGAAAUGAUUUUUUGAUAUAAUAUCAAUACUUUGAUAACUAAAUGGUCACGAGUUUGAAUUUCACAAUCUCUAUUUAUUUGAUAAAAAUUAAACACAGGAUAAUGUAGACAUGUAUAAGUUUUAAGCUCAAAAGACUUUUAUAUGAGGGAAUGUGUUAGAAAAUAAUAUAAAUCAUAUUCUAGAACUUUAUUUAAUAAUUUAAACUUUUAGAUUGAGAUGGUUAUUUGAUAAAAUUGACAUGAUAAGGUACCAAUUAAGUCUGUGUCUUUAUGUGGACAAGAUUUCUAUUUUCUUGCCUAACUACAAAGUUUACUUGAAAUGGUAGUGAUUGAUUAUCCUUUCCUAGUUGUUUGAAAAGUAAUACGCACGUGCCAGCAAUGGCCCUGCAGGUAAUGGCGCCACAAAUGGUUUGGGAAAUUAAACUCCUUGCCCUCUCUAGGGCCUAGAUUUGUCUCCGCUGAUAGUGUGCUAAAGAAUUUAAAAGAAUUGGUAUUAGUAUUGUGAGUUUGAAGAAAAUUAGAGAAAUGAAAAAAAAAUGAGGGCGGCUAAAUUAUGGCUCUGUAAUUGGCUCUUCCAUAGACUGUAGUGGUCAGCGCCUUUGGAUUGCAAACAUCUAUGCUUCUAGAAAUCUUGAACUUCCAGUUUGUUAAGAGUUUUUAUCUAGUCACCCACGAUGGUCUGUAAUGAACUGAACAACCUAGUCAUUGAGAAGCCUAUAACACUUUAUGCAAGUCUCCAAGUGAACAAAUUUGCAGAUUAUGCUUGUCUCCUAGCAUUGAAAAUUCCCACGUUCGUAAAGCUUUUGAGGAUACUAUGAAGCUCAUCCCAUAUGAUUCCCAUCUAUCGAGUGCUGUAACAUCACAAUUCAAAGUUAAAACUUCAUGUUGAUUCAAAAAAAACUAAUGUUAAGAUAUCCAAAAGCCUUGAAAUGAUUUGAGAAUUUCAAGUGUUAGACAAAAAAUCCACCAUGAGUGAUUGGAUGUUCAAAUAUCUUAUGCGCUGCGACAAGGUCGGAUGUUAGAAAUAUGGGUGAACUCUCCCUCCAGUUUUUAUAAAACACUUUAAAAAAAAAAAAAAUCAUGAGGUUGCCUUCUUCACUCUCGCCUGUAAUAUGGGCUCUCAAAAUUGAAUGUGGAGCUGGAACCACUCGUCUCAUUAUCUUCAAGAUCUUCUAAAUCCUUAUUUAUUAAGUAAUGGUCACUUUUGAAACUUCCCUUUACAAAUCUUUAUUCACUAAGUUAUGACAGUUUUGUUCUUGGGCAGAACCUCCUCAACCAUAAUUAAUUCCCCUCUGCCAUAACCAUGUUUUGCGUUGUGAUCUCUAGCCAUAGUAGUUCAGCAACAUUAAAAAAAAGAAGGAACAAUAGGAUAUGAUACCAACUUGCACAAUUUAAACUAAUUAGACUGGGAAUAAAAAAAAAACAUGGGAAGAUAGAAUUCACCAAAAGGGCCAAACAAGAACCCUAGCUACAUUGUUAUUUUCAGAAUAUAUUCCUCCACCAAAAUCUACCUCAUAAAAAUAUUUUCAAUAACUUAAAUAGGUCUAUCUUCUCGAUCAAAAUGGAAAAAAUAAUCUUACAUGGAUAGAAAAAUUAAAAGCUAAAAUUUGAAAUAAAUAAAAACUAAAACUAAAAAAAAUAGCAAUUUAUAAAUCUAAUUUGAAAGUCUUGAUAACCUCAACGAGCCAAUAUUUCACUAUAGAAUAGAUCUGCAUAAUCUUUUAAUGAAAUUUAAAUAUGAUCUAAUAAUUAAAUAAAAUAUUAUGUUUAUUUUUAUCAGAAAUGUUAUUUGGAGUGACUAAAUCUUUUCUUGAGUUUGAACUUUUUAUUUAAUCCAUAAAUGUAUUUAUUAGGUAUUUUAUAUACUCUGAUUAUUAUUCUUGUACAUUAAUAUUAGGAAUAACCACAAUAAAUAUUGGUAUGGGAAAUUAAACUCCUUAGAAUUACCUUACCCAACUCUGAAGCCCUAGAUGUACAUGGCGUGGUAAAGGAUUUAAAAGAUAUGGUAUUAGUGUAUGGGAAAGAAAUUAAACUGAGAACUUGGCUCUGCCUCGGUGCUCAGUACCAUUCGAUCUCUAACAUCUAUGCAUGCUUCUAGAAAUUUUGAGCUCCUAGUCCGUUCAAAGUUUUUUUUAGCAGCCUUCCUUGAUGAUCUAUAUGAACCGAACAAUCAAGUCAUUGAGAAGCCUACAACACUUAGCCUAGUCCCUAACUUUGUGGCGCAUUGAGUGGAAGAAAUUUUCAACGUUUGACUCCAAGUAGUCACUCAUUUACGCUGUUUAGAAUCCAAGUUAAAUUUCCAUGUUGAUAAAAAAAAUAAAGUUAAGAUGGCAAAAUUCGCUGAAUCCGUACUUCAUGAAAUUUUAAUUAUUACAUAGGAAAAUACAUGUCCAAAGUUAAAAACACAUUAUAUUAUUCAAUGAACUGUAAUAUAAAUUGAUAGUUGAAAUAUAAGGUUGUGUUGCACUCAUGAAAUGAAAUGAUAGAAAGAUCUGAUUUAGUGUUAGGUUUUAAGCCAAUAGAAUUAGUUUGAAAGGAUAAUAUUAAUUGUUUUUUAAAAUGAUUUUUUGUUUGAAAAUAUAUUUAAAAAAUAUAUUAUUUUUAUAUUAGGACAUCAAAAUAAUAUAAAAAUAACAAAAAAAUUAAUUUAAAAUAAAAUAAAAUUAAUUUUUUAAAAAAUACUUUUAAAACCUAAACAAUUUUCUCAGUCUUGUCUUCUAACAUAAAAAUAUAUAUAUAUAUUAUGAAGCCAACAGUAUCAAUCACAUAAUCCAUUAUCUGUCAGAGUCUCGGUACUUGAGGGAUUUGAUCCCAUAUGACACAAGCCUGGUGACUUUACUAAUCAGCUCUUUUCUAGGUUUCUUGCGGGUUUUUUUUAUCAGUAAUCCUUCUCCAAUUUGUCGUCUCAAACUGGUUUUUAAUAUCUAUUUGAUGAUCAAAGAAAAGAAAAGGCCUAAUCAUCUAACAAGUAGUUUUAAUUCUAUUUCUGUAUAUUUCUACUUAAAAUAUAUUAAAAAAUAAUAUAAAUCAUAUAUUAAAACUUUAUUUAAUAAUUUAAGUUAUUAAGUUAAGAUGAUUCUUUAACAUGAUAUCAAAGUAUUGAUGACCAAGUGGUCAUGAGUUUAAAUCUCAUUAUCUCUAUUCAUUUGAUAAAAAAUAAGCACAAGGUAAUAUGGUCUUGUGGAAGUUUAAAGCCCAAAGAGCUUUCAAUUGAAAGGGUGUGUUAGAGAAUAAUAUAAAUCAUAUCUUGAGAUCUUAUCUAACAGUUUAAACUUGUGGGUUAAGAUGAUUUUUUGACAGAGUAAAAAUAUAAGCAUAGUAAUAAAUAUCUUCCAAGUUUAUUACUGCGGAUCAACUCAACAACCUACCAAUUAAAUAUUUUAUUUUAUUUUAAAUUGGUUUUUUUAUGAAAAUAAUAUAAAAUAUUUUAAAAAAAUCAUAAUUUAGAAUGACUUGCCAACCCUUCUACGAACCGAAUCUCGGAUUGGAUUGAUAUCUAGUUUGUAGUUUAUAACUAAGAACGUGAGAUGUAUCUCUUGCCAUCAAGGCAUUUAGAAUUUUCAUAUCUAUCGCUAUAAGGUGCUUUGUAGUUUCAUAAAACUUUGCUUAGUGAACCUACUUUUGUCGUUAUAAGUCAUCUAAGCAGACCCGUAUUCUACACGCACAAAUAUGCAUAAAAAUCUACAUGCUAUCCUGCUAUAUAUGGCCCAAACCAAACCUUAUUUUUCCAUCCAGAUUUUUUACCCUUAAUUAAAUAAAAAAACACCUUGCUUACCUUAUGUUUUCUCUUAACAUGGGAAACAAUGUACUAUCCAUCAUUCUGGCUAUGAUGCUGGCUGUAACCAUGCCGCAGUUGAUAGUGUCUCAAAAUUGUGGUUGUGCUCCCAACUUGUGCUGUAGUCAGUUUGGCUUCUGCGGCACCGGUGAUGCUUAUUGUGGCCAAGGAUGCCGGGAGGGACCUUGUACCUCAGCACCUAGUACCCCUAGCACGCCUAGUAACAAUGAUGUUACGGUGGCUGAUGUUGUUACACCGGAAUUCUUCAACGGUAUAAUCAAUCAAGCCGGGGGAGAUUGUGCCGGGAAGAGCUUCUACACACGAGAUGCGUUUCUCAGUGCCCUCAAUUCUUAUUCUCAGUUUGGCAAGAUUGGAUCAAAUGACGAUUCCAAACGUGAGAUUGCAGCAUUUUUUGCUCACGUCACGCAUGAGACCGGACGUAAGAUCUCUUAAAUCUCAUCUAUAUAUAUAUAUGUAUAUUGUCACACAUCACACCUUCAGUAAACAACAUAAUAAUAAUAAUAAUAAUCAUAUAGCAGUUAAAAACUUUAUUAACAUGCAUACAAACUUGGAAAUGCUAUAGUUGCUAGAGAAUGAUCGUUAUGAUAUGAACACAAGCAUAACCAUACAUCUCAAAGUUAACAAAUGGAUGUGUUUUGCUUGGUUUACAGACUUCUGCUACAUAGAAGAAAUAAACGGUGCCUCUCAGGACUACUGUGAUGAGACCAAUACACAGUAUCCAUGCAACCCGAACAAGAAAUACUUUGGCCGUGGACCUCUUCAACUAACAUGGAAUUACAAUUACGGGGCGGCUGGAGGGGCAAACAACUUUGAUGGACUAAACUCUCCUGAAACUGUGGCCAAUGAUCCUGUUGUGUCGUUCAAGACUGCCUUAUGGUUUUGGAUGACUAAUGUCCGCCCUGUGGUCACUCAAGGGUUUGGUGCGACGAUUAGAGCCAUUAAUGGUGCAGUUGAAUGUAAUGGUGGAAAUUCUGGUGCUGUUCAAGCUCGAAUUGGGUAUUACACAGAUUAUUGUAACCAGUUUGGCGUUGCACCUGGCGAUAAUCUAAGCUGUUAGGUUACAUUAUGCAUAUUAUAGUAUAGCAAUGAAAUGAAAUGGAAUCUACCUUCUGCCAUUUCUCGAAUGUAAGGUGGGAUACCCAGUGGUGUUCUGUAACUCUCGAUCGAGUUCGAUGUAUUUCUUGGAAUGGAUUUUAUAGAUAAAUAAAUGAAAUAAAGGCAUCACAUAAUUGAUUUUGCUUAUAAUGUAUUUGCUGGCUUAAUCGUUGUUAUGUUCAUUGCAAUUGCAAGUUUCUUGUUUAGGUUUUUUUUAUAUAUAUAUAAUCCUUAAUCACUAAUGAAAGUUUUGUUCUUGGGCAGAACCUCCUCAACCAUAAUUAAUUCCCCUAUGCCAUAAUCAUGUUUUGCGUUUUGAUCUCUAGCCAUAGUUGUUCAGAAACAUUAAAAAAAAAAAAAAAAAAAACAGGAACAAUAGGAUAUGAUACCAACUAGCACAAUUUAAACUAAUUAGACUGGCAAUAAAAAAAAACAUGGGAAGAUACAAUUCACCAAAAGGGCCAAACAAGAACCCUAGCUACAUUGUUAUUUUCAGAAUAAUAUUCUUCCACCGAAAUCUACCUCAUAAAAAUAUUUGCAAUAACUUAAAUAGUUCUAUCUUUAACCUCAAUCAAAAUGAAAAAAAUAAUCCUACAUAGACAGAAAAAUAAAAGGCUAAAAUUCAAAAUAAAUAAAAAUUAAAACUAAAAAAAUAACAUUUUUAAAAUUUAAUUUGAAAAUCUUUCUAACCUCAACAGAUGACAACGAGACGAUAUUCCACUAUAGAAUAUGCCUGCAGAAUCUUUUAAUGAAAUUUAAACAUGAUUUAAUAAUUAAAUAAAAAAUUAUGUUUAUUUUCUUGAAACAUAUUGUUUGGAGGGACUAAACUUUUUCUUAAAUUUGGAUUUUUUAUUCGAUCCAUAUAUAUAUAUCUAUUAGAUUUUUUAUAUACUCUAGUUACAACAAAUUUAUAUCUGAUUAUGAUUAUUAUUCUUGUAGAUUAAUAUUAGCAAUAACGAACAAUAUUGGUAUGGGAAAUUAAAUUCCUUAUAAUUACCUUACCCAACUCUCAAGCCCUAGAUGUACAUAGUGUGGUAAAGGAUUUAAAAGAUAUGGUAUUAGUGUAUGGGAAAGAAAUUAAAAUAAAUUGAGAACUUGGCUCUGCCUCGGUGCUCAGUACCAUUUGAUUUCUAACAUCUAUGCUUCUAGAAAUUUUGAACUCAUAGUUUGUCCAAAGUUUUUUUUAGCAGCCUUCGUUAAUGAUCUAUAUGAAACGAACAAUCAAGUCAUUGAGAAGCCUACAACACUUAUGGCACGUUGAGUGGAAGAAAUUCUCAAAGCCUACAACACUUAUGGCACGUUGAGUGGAAGAAAUUCUCAAAGCCUACAACACUUAUGAAAUUUUAAUUAUUACAUAGGAAAACCCACGCCCAAAGUUUAAAACACGUUAUUCAAUGAACUGUAAUAUAAAUGGAUAUUUGCAAACAACAUUCUCUCUAUUAGUUUCUAACAUACCAAAGAAAAUUUACGAAGCCAACAUUAUCGAUCGCAUAAUCCAUUAUCUGUAGGGGUCUCGAUACUAGAGGGAUUUGAUCCCAAAUCACACAAGCCUAGUAACUUUACUAAUCAGCUCUCUUUUUAGGUUUCUUCCGAGUUUUUUAUUAGUAAUUCUUCUCCAAUUUGUCGUCUCAAGCUGGUUUUUACUGUCUAUUUGCUAAUGAAGUCAAAGAAAAGAACAUGCAAUCCCCCCUAUUUAUAGGUUAUGGAAGAAGGUAAUAUUUUCUUCACCCGGGAAAAUUUUCAAUCCUUAAUUCAGAUGGAAAUGAUCACAACCGUUGACUUAAAAUAAGCAUGAACUGUAUAAAUUUACAGUUAGUGGCUGCUUGAGCUGGCCUCUUUAGGUUGGCACCGGACCUCUAUGGUGUUAAUCAACCUAAACAGACCAUACCAGGGUGUAAAAGGAUGUCAGGUGAUCAUUUACAUGCAAGUUUUGUGAAGGUUAGAUGCAUUAAAUGCACCUAUGAAGUUGUUUUCUAAGCUAUCAUUUCAGUGAAAAUUAAAGAAGAAGAUGAACAAUAACCAAAACAGCGCCAUUUUGGUAACAUUCACUUUAGCCAUUUGAUUUCUAAUUUGUCUCAAUUACACCCUUGAUUGACUUCAAAUUUUUAAUUUUAUGUAAUCUCAUCCCUAGAAAAACCUCAAUGUCAGCCUCGGAUAUCGCAAUGACGACGAUUAAAAAUAAUCUAAGAAAAGAAAAGAUAUCUAACAUCUUAAUCUUUGAAAAAAAAGGUCUAGUUUAAGGAGUCACCACCUAGUAUUACAAUCAGUACCAACCCUAAUUGAUCAACACAAAUUAUAUGGUACGGGACUGGUUACAUGAAAUGAAAUAUACUAUCACCCCUUAAGCGUCUUACUUAAAGCAAGCUACAUUGUUGGUUUUGUCUUAAAUUGCUAAGAGUUUGUCUUUGUUCCAUUUUUAAGGUCAUCCUAUAAUAUUCUCAACUCUGACAUCAAUAAUUAUUCACUGAUGAAUAUUUUCAACUCUAGCGUUGGUAAAUAUUGCGCAAUUCACAAAUUACAGUAUUUCUGACUAUAACGUCAGUGAAUAAGUCUGUAAAUUUCAAAUUCUAAAAAAGCAAGAAACAAAUUUUUUAUUUUUUUCUGGUCGGAUCUAGGUUGGUCGUACAGGCUGGGCUUGAUCCAGCUAGCCCGAGCUUGGUCACUGAAAUGCAACAAGCAUAUCUAAAUUAUAAUUCAUGUAUGGGUGUAUAGCAAGAAUGUAAUUAAAAUGGCAACGGUGAAGGGCCAAGAAUAAAAUUAAAAAUCAAAAAAAUAAAAAUCAAAUUUAAAGUAUCAAUAACUAAAAUGACAAUAUUGAAAUUCUAAAUGGCUAGUGCGAUUUUUGAGAGGAAAAGAGAGAGAAAAGAGUGGGGAAAAAGCCUCACCAACAACAAUUCAUCAUACCACCAUCACCACGUGCCACCCCACCAAAAAUAAUAAGCUGCAAAGAUUUCAACAACAUAAUGAAAGAGCUUUUUAACCACUGUGACGCAUUGUGUGUUCUGACAAAGAUUGUGGGCGCCUCCCACACGUUGGAGCAUAAGUUGUAUAAAUCAUCAACUUUUCUAUUUUAAUAUUAUUUUAUUUUUAUUAAAAGAUUAAAUUACCAUCAACCAAUUUAAUAAUAACAAAUAAAAAAACAUAGUAAAAAAACAUAAAAGUUCCUAUAUGCAAGCUUUAGAAAUUUUGCAAGUCUUUUUAUUGUUCCUAAAAUAGUGAAUUGAUGUGAAAGCCCUUCAAAGUUAGUUUCAAUAAUUUUGCUUUGAAGAGUAAAUUAAUAAUUUCAUUUUUAUUAUUAAUAAUUUCAUUUUUAUUAAAAAAAUAAAAAAGACAACCGCUCAAUAUAAUAAUUAAUAAUAAAUCAUGUACGAAAAGAAAAAACAAUCCCCAAUGUAAAAGCCAUUGGUUUUUUUGAGAAGGGUAAAUAGAUAACUAUACUGUAGCUUGGUAAAAUAUUUCUAUGCCAUAGUAUUUUCACCUUUUUGUUUUAGCUUUAUCAUUUUUUUUGUUAUAUUGCUAGACAUCUUUUAACCGCAGCUAAUAGUAUUCACAGCAACAAAUAUAACUAAAAGCAACCAAGUAAUCACUACAUAGAUCCUUAAUGUGUUAUUAAAUAUUAUAAGAGAUUUAAAUAAAAUAUAUAUGUGUAUAUAUAUAUAUAUAUAAAAAAAAGGUUCAUACACAAAAUUUAUAUGGUUUAAGGGCCACACUUUCUAAAAAAAUUAAUUUUUUUCUUCAAAUUAAAUAUUACUAUUUGAGAGUAAUUGAGUUUAUCUACUGAAUUUAUCAUCCAAUCUGUUUGCAACGCGAAGCCCCAUGUAUCUCAAGCCCGUCAUACUAUAUUCCAAAUGAAGGCCCAAAAACGAUGGGCCAUUAUGACGACAGCUGUUCAGCACUUCAUUUAGGCCCCCGUCUUUCAAAUGAAAUGCAAUUACAAUUUCAGGAUGUGUUAGCAACAAUUCCACGACGUCGCAUCCAAUGUUUCUCAGAGGCAUGAAAGCACAAGGCUAAGCUUCUCUCUUCAAGUGGAAGUCUAGCAUGUUGAAGAUGAAUGUGAGGUGGAAUCCCAAGGCUCAUUGGACUCUGGAAUCAGACAAGGGAAUCUUCGUUGUUUAACAUCUUCAAAUUCUGUUGUUGAGGCAGAGGUGCAGGGAACGUUGAAAACUGGGCAGGCAUUGGGCUUUGGAAUGUUGAGGACUUGUAACAUCCAUUAGAGGCCAGGUGGACAGAGAGCUGGAAGAUUGGAAUGACGACCAAUAAUGCCAUUUUGCAGCUCGACAGUGGAUAUGUAUUACCUUCUUUCUUAAUGAAGAUCUUAUUCUGGAAUAGUUGUGGAUUGGGUAUGUCUGUUAAGGGGGUAUCGAUUAGGAAUACUGUUCUGCAUAAUGACAUUGAGGCGUGUUUCCUGCCAGGAACUAAGAGGGCAAUGUGCUGUGACAAUUUUGUUCAUGCAUUAUAGAAUAACUUAUCAGUCAAAUGGUUUACACUUAAUUCAGUUGAUUAUAUUAGGGUGGAGGUAUUUUGGCUACUUGGGAUGAAAGUAAUUUCAUGGUUCAUUUAGCCGGAUAUCAAACUAGAAUUGACAUAAAAAUUAUGGUUAAGAUAUAAGGGUGUGUUUUGCCAAACACACCCUUAGUAAAUAUGGACUAGGCAGGUUGGAUUUGAAGCCCAAACCUGGCCAACAUUUUCUUUUUUUUUUAUUGGGUAAGAUCUAGCCUAACCAUCCGAGUUGGGCUCGACCCAGCUGGUCAACAUGGUUAUUGGCCUAAGCCAGUAACCUAGUUUGUGCAAUAUUUAAUUUUUUAUAGGCAGAAUAACAAAAAGAAAAAUGGCUUUAAAAAUUUCUUCUUCAAAUUCAAUUUUUUACCUGGUUUACAAUCCAUGUGAAUUAAAAUGAGAGCUGAGGAAGAAAGAAGACUUACCUAGCUUGCAAAAGCAUUGCCCGAGAUUGCAAGCGCUGGUCGAAGCUCUUGUCUUCAAGUUUUCUCCUAUUCCUUGUUCAUUUUAUUUUUUUUCAGCUUCUCUCGUUAUAUCUCUCUUGUCUCUCUCUCUCUUUUUCUUUUUUUUUUUUGUCUUUCCUUCUCUCUUUUUUUCUCCACUACCCACUCUCCUUUUUCUUUCUUUUUUUGUUACACCAUGGUGUGGCUUUUCACUAGCCUUUUAUAAGGCCAGAACAAAUGGUUGUUCCCCAGUACGUCUCUUUUUUCCUGGGAGGAGGAUAAGUCUUAGGGUGUUAGUCUUUUGCUGGGACUUGGAUGCGAGAUUCGAUCCUUAUCAUCCUAGGAUUGUGACCUUCAUGAAGAUAGGGAUUAAUCCUUGUGUUUUGGUAGACCUAGGAUGUUGGCAUUUCAAUUUAUUUCCCUUCUUUGCAAGCGAAUUUGUAGUGUUAGAGGAAGAAGAAGAAGAAUUGUGCAUGGUUGAAACGGCGUCGUUUUGGAUUGGGAAUGAACAUUUUCAAUUUGAUCCUUAAAGUUUUGAAAUUUCCUAAUAUGGCCCCUAAAGUUCAACACCUUUUACAAAAUGGUCCCUAAUUUCUAAUUUCUUGCAAUUUUGACCCAAAUCAACCCUGAAUUAUAAUAUUUCUUCAAUUAGGCCUUGACUCCAUUAAUUAAACUAGCUCUAAGCUUAAUUAAGUCCCCAAAUUUAUCAAUUCUAUGAUUAAGCUCGUAAUUUCAUUAAUUAAAUUAAUUUAAAGUUUAAUUAAGUCUCCAAACUUAUCAAUUUUUCCAAAUUCUAGCAAAGUCAAACCCUAAAUUUAUAAUUUCACCCUGACUAGAUCCUCAAGACUUUCAAUUUGUAUUGUCUUCACCCAAAUCUCAAUUUUUUCUCCAUUCAUUUCAUUUUUUCGAUGAAUUUAUGUUGUCAAAAAUUAAGUUACGACAACUGUAUCCAAUAAAUUAAAAGUCAUCAUGCCUGAUAUUAGUAGUGUUAAUCAAACAACUUUUUUCAUCUCUAGUAGGCAAAUUUUAGAUGGUUUCGUGAUGGCUAAUAAAAGUGUACAUAGUAUCAAGAAAAGUGGGAAACAUAGUUUUGUUAUGAAAGUGGACUUCCAUAAGACUUUUAAUUCUGUUGUUUAAGAGUACCUAGAGGAAGUGAUGUUAUAUGUGAGUUUUUGAAGGAGGCGGAUUUCUCUAAUACAUAAAUGCAUUACGGGAUCUAAAUUAGCUAUUCUUAUUAAAGGUUCACCAAUCAUGAAGUUUAGAGUAGAACGAGAACUACGUCAAGGCAAGAAUAACUAUCGCCUUUUUUUUUUUACAUAGAUGUGGAAGGGUUAUUAGUUAUGUUUAUGAGAGCUUCCACUUCCGGAUUAUUUAAAGGAAUCCAUUGUGAAAAUGAGAUAUAUAUGAGUCAUUUGAAAUAUACAAAUGAUACCUUAUUAUUUAUUCCUAAUUAUUUCACUUUGAUAACUAAUGCUAAAAGGAUUUUGAGGUGGUUUGAAUUGACUUUAGGUCUAAAAUUUAACUUUCAUAAAAGUUCACUAGUUGACAUCAACCUAGAUGAUGAAUUUAUGAUAGGAAUAACAAAUGUGAUAUAUUGCAAAUGGGACACACUACUUGUCCGAUACUUAAGCCAGAUCUUUGGGGGCAAACCCGAAAAGACUCUUCACUUGGAAGCCUAUCAUAAAUAGCAUCCAGACAAGACUGGUUCAUGAAAAGAAUGUUUAUUGAGCAUGACAAGAAGUGUCUAAUUAAAUUUGUGUUGUCCUCCCUUUCCUUGUAUGUACAUGUCCAUCUUUCUUAUGCCAAAGGGAGUUGUUAGGGUUAUUAAUUUGAUCAAGAGGAGGUUCUUGUGUAGUGGGGAUUUUGGUGCAAGGAAAAUAUAUAAAGUUGCUUUGUAGGUGGUUGUAAGGGGGAAAAUAGAGGGGGUUUGGGCAUUGGCUCAUUGGAAGGCAAGAACAAGGCAUUGCUAUUUAAAUGACUCUUGAGGCUAGGGGAAAGCAAUUUGAGAGGUUGGUAAGAGCAUAUCUACAAAAGAUAUCAGGCUACUAUUAUUAAUGGCCUCUCACUUCUUAAAUAAUCUUUUUCUGAAACAUGGCACUCUAUCUAUUUUGUUAUCAGCACGGACUCUAAAAUAGAAGUGACUUUGAAGAACAAUUGAUGGUUUUAGAUUGGCAAUGAAAGCAACAUUCACUUCUAAACAGACAAGCGGCUAGCUGGUAGGCUGUUAAAAGAUUUUUAUUUGUGCCUUUUCUCCUUUAUCACAACACCUUCUCCUUGCUUGUAGAUAUGGGGGCAAUGCUGCGACUUGGUGGAAAUGGAGACUUCACUAAAAAGAUGCUUGUGGACAUUAGAAAAAGAGAAAUUAAGUAACAUGAAUCAAAUGUUCGUAAGGGUAAUAUUGCAGUCGAUUAGAGGUGAUAAAAAAAUAUGGGCAAGAGACAUAAUCGAGGCCUAUAUGUCAAUUCUGACAGUGAUUUAAUAGAUAACAUUCUAUUUCUAGGAAACUUCAUAUUCACUUCACUUUUAUGGAAAUGAUCUACCCACCAAAUGUAGAAAUGUUUAUAUGGAUAUUGUUCCAAAGCAUAAUAUGUACAAGAGCCUUUCUACCACACUGUCAUUUAGGACAACCCAGUCAAGCUAUAUAUCCCUUUUAUGAACAUGAAAAAGAGAAUGCUCCUCAUCUUUUCCUUCAUUGCUACCACAUGUGGAGAUUAUGACAAUGAUUUUUGAGUUGGUCUGAUGCCUCUGGUGUAUGCCAAAUACAAUAGAUCAAGUGAUCUGGCAAUGGAGCAACAUGGUCGAAGGUAAGUUCUAGUAAAAUGCAUUUACAAUGUUAUCAUAUGGAAUUUUGUAGGGGUAUUUAGACUGCAAGAAACAAGCUGAUCUUCAAAGAUAAAAAGCUUGAUUGGAAUACAUUGUUUCAACUCAUACUCUAUUGACUUACACUUUGGUUAAAGGUCUGGAAUAAUAAUUUUUCAUACACAAAAAAUGAUUUGAUUAGAGAUCUUGGAGGCAUUUUAACAUGUUCUAAUAAGUGAUGAGUAAUUGGUUGUAGGAGCUUGUUAUUAGCAUCUCCUUUGUAACUUCCUUUUAUGUUUUUAUCUACGAUUUCAUGUUCAUCAUAGUCUUAAUGGUAUACUGGUUUUAUCAAUAAAUAACUCGAUUGAGUUGGUGUAGUUCCUUUCCCUUUGGCUAUAGGUUUUUAAGUUUCUUUAGUUUGGUAAUUCAUCAAACGCAAAUUAAGCUCUUACAAAUAGGAAAUGUAUGGUUGGAAAAAAGUUAGGAAGUGAUAAUUAUCAGCACAUACCAAGCCAAAUAAGACUAUCUGAUGUAACUUGAACAGUUUAGUUUAAUUAGUCAGAAUUUGUUCUCUAAAUAUUACCAUUUCAAGUUUCACAAAUUUAAUGGUCACUAGAUACUUAUAUAAUCGUUAACUUCAGAGUCUCAAAGGAUUAAUCGAGGUGCGCUCGAACACUCACAAUUAAAAAAAAAAAAAAAAAGAUUAUCUGAUGUAGAAAUAGACACAUGCUACUAAAUAGGAUUGUGUCUGAUGUAGUAAUAAAGUUUCUACCUUUUAUGGUAUAUAAAUGUCUGACCACUUCAAAAACAUGUCACGUAAGGACAUUAAUGUCAUUAUCCUAGAUAUUUUUGCUAAACUUUAUAGACUAAAUUAUAAUCAACACAUAUAUAUUUUACACGUAAAAUUAUAGACCUCGUCCACCUUGUGCCUCUAUAAAUAGCUUAACAUCGACCUUAUCACCACACAUCACAAGAAAUUCCUUUCUCUCUUUGCAUAACAAUAUCAAAACUCCCUUCAGGAGUAGCGAAAAUGAGAAGCAAUAUUCUACUUACCAUUAUCUUAGCCAUAGUUCUUGCAGGAGCCCUGCACAAGAAUGUGGUAGAGGCUCAGAAUUGUGGCUGUGCUGCAAACCUUUGUUGCAGUCAAUAUGGCUACUGUGGCACUGGCAAUGCCUAUUGUGGUCAGGGAUGUAAACAAGGGCCCUGUACUUCAUCACCUACGCCUACUACCCCUAGUGGGAGUGGUUCUGUUGCUGAUAUUGUUACGCCUGCUUUCUUCAAUGGUAUAAUCAACCAAGCUGCUGCAAGCUGUGCUGGG